rnacentral:lncRNA from 1 species
AAUGCAAAUCUUCCCUUUGAAUCUUAACACCCCUUGACCUAUAGUAUAAUUAGGGAAAGCAUCAGAGUCUAUCAAUUUGGUUGCAUGUAUGUUAGACAUAUGUGUAUAUAUCUCCCUCAUAGUUGUGCACUACUUCAAUCGUUCACCUUGGUUGUACAGUAGUAAUAACUUGGCAGUCCCCUUCCACAUGAUCUCUUCUAGAAAGAUCAUCAUCUAACUUAUUCUCAUAUCCCCUUCUUAUAUUGGAUGUCAUAGUCCAAUCCAAUAAGUUUAGAAAUCCUCCUUUGUUGCAGAGCAGAUAUGAACUUCUGCUCCAUAAUAUAUUUGAUACUCUGUUGAUGAGUUUUAAUGGUAAAGUGAUGCCCUUGUAAGUAGUAUUUCCACUCAGUGACUGUCAUCAAAACAGCCAUCAACUCCCUCUCAUAAAUGGAGAGAGCUUGAUUAUUUGGGCUCAGUGCCUUGCUCAUAAAGGCAAUUGAUUGAGAACCUUGCAUUAAUAUUGCACCCAAACCAGUAGAAUUAACAUCAGUCUCUACUACAAAUGGUUUUGAGAAAUCAGGUAAUGCCGAAGCUGGAGAAGUCACCAUAGCCUCCUUAAGCUGAAUGAAGGCCUUUUCUGCCUGUUCAGUCCAAAUAAAUCCUUCCUUCUUAAGCAUGUCAGUGAGUGGUUUGCAGUUCACCCAAUAACCUUGCACAAGAUUCCUAUAAUAACCAGUUAAUCCUAAGAAUCCCCUUAAUCCCUUCAGAGUAUUAGGUUUUAUCCAAUCAAACAUUCCUUGAAUCUUCUCAGGAUCAGUAGAGGCACCCUCUUUACUAAUAAUAUGGCCCAAGUACUCCACAGUAGUUUAGGCAAACUGACACUUAGAUUUCUUGGCAACGAGCUUGUGUUGCCUCAGUAUGGCCAGAGUGAUAUUCAAGUGCAGUAGAUGUUCUUCCCAACUCUUGUUGAUAUGAGGAUGUCAUCAAAAAUGAGAAGAAUAAACUACCCCAGGUGUUUAGAAAAUACCUGGUUCAUCAAAGAUUGGAAAGUUGCAGUUGCAUUGCAAAGCCCAAAAGGCAUAACUAGGAAUUCAAAAUGUCCAUUAUGGGUUUUGAAUGCAUUUUUGUAUAUGUCUUCAUCCUUCAUCCUGUUCUGAAAGUAACCAGACCAGAGAUCCAUUUUGGUAAACCACUAAGCUCCAUGCAACUCAUCUAGGAGCUCAUCUAUGACUGGUAUAGGGUAGUCAUACUUCAAAGUUAAUCUGUUUAGAUACCUAUAAUCUACACACAUCCUCCAAGACGAAUCCUUCUUCCAUACCAAUAGUACAUGUGAAGCAAAUGGGCUUUGAUUGUCUUUGAUUAUACCAGAGUCGAAAAGUUCAUUCACAAUUUGCUCCAUUUCCCCUUAGUAAGCAUGUGAAUACCUAUAAGGAAACAGUUGUUUAGGAAUUGCAUCCUUUUUCAUAAGGGUUUCUUUGAGAAAAACCUCCAAUUACUUCAUUUAAUGGAGAGAGGCCCAAAAUAUUUUGCUCCAUUUGAGAAAAGCCCACACGCAUUUUCAGCCAUUAUUUUUUUCCAAUUUUUCCCCCGCCCGCCACAUCAUCAUUGCGUCGCGCUGUCAUCAGCCGUUUUUUUUCCUUUUUUUUUUUUAACUUUUUUUUUGUAUAAGUUUUAUUAGUCAACUAUGAAGCGUAGUAGAUUAAGGAAAAUCAACUAUGAAACAUAGUCGAUUAAGGAAAUUCUUUAAUUUUGUUUUUAUUUUUAAUUUUUUUUUCAAUCAGCUAUAUUAAUCUUCUAUGAAGCAUAGUCGAUUAAGAAUCUGACUACUAAAAAUAAUAAAUCACAACUACAAAAAUGAAAAAUCACCUAUAUUUUACAAAAGCAAAAAAUAUACAAACAUUAUAAUUGAUUUAUACAAUUGGAAUCAAUAAACAAAAAAUCCAAAAAAAAUUAAACAUUGAAGUCGAUUAACCUUAAUCGACUACAAGAGCAUAGUCGAUUAACCUUAAUCGACUAUUGAACAUGUACGUAAUCGAUUAAGACUCCAGCCUGCGUGAACUUCUCUAUCCGCGACGUCCUCCACCCGACCCACAAAAUAAAAUAUUAGAUCUGCCUCCCCAGCCCGUCGCAACACCACACCAUCCCAUCAUCCUUGCAACUUCAUCCCAUUCCAUCCCAUAUCUUGCCACUUCAUCCCACCCACAAUCCUUAAACCUAAACAAAUCAUUUUUCCCUCACCAACUAGAUUUAGAUUGAAACCAAAAACAUAAUAUAGAUCUAGAUUGAAACCAAAUAGAUCUGAGAAACAAAUUUAGAGCUACUCAAAAGAUAUGGUUUUUCAGCGUCGAUGAUUUGAGACAUGGUCUUCACUCUCCGCCGCCACAGCCAUCGUCUCUGCCGCUGCCAUGGUCUUCACGUCUCCGUUGCCGAUGACUUGAGACAUGGUCCUCACCCGUUGUUGGUGUUUCUGUGAGUGAAGAGAAUGGAAGAGAGAAUGGAAGAGAGAAUAGAAGAGAGAAUGGAAAACGAUGAAAAUUAGGGUUGGGGUAUGUAUGGUCUUUAUAAGGAUAGUUUGGGGAUUAUUAAAAAUUAAUUUUGUUUGAAAUAUACCUAAGGGGGUUUUCUCUAAUUAUUUUUGGAAGGAGGUGUUUCCUCAACUAUAUUUCCUAGAUGAAGGGGUUCUUGCUAAUUUCCCCUUUUCAAAAUGAUGUGAUGCUCAAUACCUCCCGCAGGUUGUAAGCAAGUUGGUUCUUAGAAUAGAUCACUAUGGAUCUCUUCAAUCUUGUCAUGUGGUUUGGGCAUAACAUUACCUCCAGACAAAGAGAAAACAUGAUAAAUAUCUCAUUGUUUCCCCGUUUGAAUCAUUUUAUACAAAGAUUCUGAUACAAACCUCGUCAAUCAUGUGAGGAGACCCGAUAUCAAUACUUCGGAUAUCAAAAUCCUGGACCGUCCUAAAGAAGGAAUCAAAGGGUGUAUGUGAAGACGCCACAAUCAAUUGCGAAAGUUUGAUUGAUAAGUCGGGGUGAACAAACGGAAUCCACCGAUAUGUUCGAACAGUUCUUAAAGAACCUAAGAGAAUAAACUCAAUUUAAUCAUAAAAAUUCGUCCCCCCUAAUAUGCCAAAUUGGCAGCCUAUAUAUAAGUGCUAAAAAGACUCAUUUUCCACAAGGAAAAGGAUUCCUACCUAAACUAUAAUAAAAAAAAUUAAUAAAUAAACAAAUCCUAACCAUAAGGAACUCUAAAAUAAUAAAAACCUAAUAAAUACUAAAUUAAAAACGUGCAUAAAUAAAUUAGAUAACUUGAUCUUCAAGUCGGCUUCUCGAUCACCCUUCUAAUCUCGCGUAGACAAUUGGUUGUGCACGUGCAUGAACUUCAUGCUCAAUUAUGGCACCGUUACAAUUCGAAUGUCUCUCCGCUCAAAACAUGAAAGUUGUAGAACUUCCAGUUGGCUUUUCAUUGAAAUUUGAAUGACCUAAAUUGGAUGCCAUAUGUGAGAGUUAUAAGCCGAAUGGUAAACUCUGCCAGAAUCAUACGAGACUUUCGGGAUGCUUGAAAUUCGACUUGUCCAACGAAUUUCCGUUUUCUUUUCUUCCAAUUCCAAACCAUGGAAUCUUCGAAGACCUGAUACAAGAAUUUAUUCUUCAAUUCCAGCCCGAAUAAACUCUUUAAACUUGUACGCUUUCGCUUCUUCCAAUUCUUCAACUUGGAGCUUGUGAGGAUCGCAUCAUACUCCCCCUCUUUAAAAUGAUUCGCCCUUGAUUCUGGAAAAAUAUAAAAAUGAGCAUAUAGAAACCAUCUUUCACGAUCAUCUUCAAACAAUUGUAGCUCAUAUAUUCUAGAAUACUCCAAAUUUGAUUACACUCAACUUUCCCACAGGAGUAUAGCUAGUCACAUUAGUACAACUAACUCCAUCAAUAAUUAAACUCGAAUAUGCACCUUCAUCGCACUGUGUAGGAACAAGACAAUCUCCGUGUAUUGCAUCACCAACUUCAUCAGCAUGCACAAUUGGAGUUUGUACUCCGGUUAGUUCAGCAGUAACUUCGAUGCAUGGCUGGAUCAUAUCAUUCUCCACCUCUUUAAAAGGAUUCGCCCUCGAAUUCGAACCUUUUUUUUCUUCAAUUGGUGGCGCGGGUUUGCAAUUUUCUUUCCCCUUGGACUCGACCUCAAUAUUCUCACAUACUUCUUCCUCAACUAGCACAUCAAUAACUCCCAAAUCUGUUUGAAUGAUCUCUUUCUCAAAAGCUUGACGAGUAUCUUCCUUUUCAAGUGGCGAUAAAGAAUCACCCUUUCUCUUCAGAUCCUCGUAGUCACCUUUGUCUCGUAGAAUUUCUUCUGCUUUGGUCUUAUGUAACGAUUCUCUCACUCUGCUCACAGGAGAACUCCAUAUUGAUUCCCAACUUGGCGAACUCCAUUCUUCUAUCGUAGUAGCUUGCCUCAACCUCUGAAAUUGUAAGUCCCUAUAAUAUUGUGAAGGAACGAACCUCUAUCUCAUAACAGCCUUCAUUGACUCCCAAUCAUCAAUUGGUGGUUCGCAACAACGGUGCCUAGUUAAGACAAAUUGGUCCCACCAACUAAUUGCAUACUCAAUGAACGCUUCAACGGCGAGCUUCACUUUCUUCUUUUCGGAAUAGUAAUCACAAUCGGAUACGUUCUCAACCUUUCUUUCCCAUUGAAUGUAUGCCUCGGGAUCACUCUUACCUUGAAAAGAUGGUAUAGUCAAUUUCAUUGAGCUAAGGUUUCGAGUUGCGCCAUCUAUUUCUCGAUCAAACUAUCCUCGACUCGAUCUAUCCCAUCCAGACCCUCGUCUCAUACUCUCCCUCCUUGAUGUGCAAGGGAUCACACCAAAUCUUCUAUCAACAUAAACCUCUUUAUCACGGUGAGGUAUAACCGGUUGAUGAACAUCACGUCAUACGUAUGGCCCUCGAACAUGUUGAUCUUUGUGUGGUUCAUAUAUUUGGGCUUCAAGUCCUUCCAGUCGAUCGUGGAUUCCCUCAAGUGCUUUAAAUAAGGGUUCGAAGCGUUUCUCCAUUGCCGACAUCCGACGCUACUCAACUCUUUCUCCUUUAUGACCGGCCUUCUCGGACAUGAUCAAAACAAUAUUUUUUUUUUGACACUAAUAAACCCUAACUUGGGCAGGAAGGAAAUCUUAACAAAAAUAAAAUUCGAAAUUUUUUUUUAAUUAAUUUUUUUUAUUGGUUUAUGGACUUUAAAUAAAAAAAUCAGAAGACUAGAAGACUCAACAACAAUAGACACUAAACAAAAAGAAAAACGAAAAAACGAAAAAACGAAAAAAAGACUGACUCGACAAAAGAUAAAGGAUAGGCGAAACCUUCUUAAGAAGAUGGCUCUCAGUACCAAAUGAUACCAACCUCGCCAACCAUGUGACGAGACCCGAUAUCAAUAUUUUGGAUAUCAAAAUCUCGGACCGUCCUAAAGAAGGAAUCAAAGGGUGUAUGCGAAGACGCCACAAUCGAUUGCGAAAGUUUGAUUGAUAAGUCGGGGUGAACAAACGAAAUCCACCGAUAUGUUCGAACAGUUCUUAAAGAACCUAAGAGAAUAAACUCAAUUUAAUCAUAAAAAUUCGUCCCCCCUAAUAUGCCAAAUUGGCAGCCUAUAUAUAAGUGCUAAAAAUACUCAUUUUCCACAAGGAAAAGGAUUCCUACCUAAACUAUAAUAAAAAAGCUAAUAAAUAAACAAAUCCUAACCAUAAGGAACUCUAAAAUAAUAGAAACCUAAUAAAUACUAAAUUAAAAACGUGCAUAAAUAAAUUAGAUAGCUUGAUCUUCAAGUCGGCUUCUCGAUCACCCUUCUAAUCUCGCGUAGACAAUUGGUUGUGCACGUGCAUGAACUCCAUGCUCAAUUAUGACACCGUUACACUUUGAAUGUCUCUCCGCUCAAAACAUGAAAGUUGUAAAAUUCUAGUUGGCUUUCCUUAUAAAUUUGAAUCACCUAAAUUGGAUGUCAUAUGAGAGAGUUAUAAGCCGAAUGGUAAACUCUGCCAGAAUCAUACGGGACUUCCGGGAUGCUUGAAAUUCGACUUGUCCAACGAAUUUCCGUUUUCUUUUCUUUUAAUUCUAAACCAAGGACUCUUCAAAGAACUGAUCCAAGAAUUUAUUCUUCAAUUCCAGCCCGAAUAAACUCUUUAAACUUGUACGCUUUCGCUUCUUCCAAUUCUUCAACUUGGAGCUUGUGAGGAUCGCAUCAUAGAUUCUGCAGUAAUGAGUUGCCAAUCCACCUUCUGCCUAACAUCAGUGAUCAUGACUCUCCCUUGUAAAGUUUGAACCUCAAUGCACCUAGAUUUGUAGUAAACAUCCAGAGGACUGCAACUAUUUAGCCAAUCACAUCCCAAUAUGAUAUGAUACCCCUCUAAUUGCAGCAAUCUGUGAGGAAAAGUGAAUGUUUUAUCUUGCGUUUGCCAGCUGAAAUCAAGAACCCCUUAUUCAGUAAUAAGUUUUUUUCCAUUUGCUAUAGUUAACUUCAUUAUAAUGGCCUUCUGGAUGCAACAUAAGUCCCUAGCUAACUCAAUAGCAAUAAAACUAUGUAUGAUGCCAUUAUCUAUUAACAUGUUCAACUUAGUACCUCCAUAACUACCAGAGACUCUGAUAGUGUUCAUUCCAGAGCUUCCCAUUAGAGCAUUGACAGAAACUUGGACCUCAUAUGCAAAUUUCCCUGUUUCAUCAACCUUUGGUGUGGAAAUGGAUUGGUAGUGGCUAAGCUCUUCAUCUUCAGUCAUCAACAGAUAAAUAUGGCUAUGUUUGUAUUUGUGGUUGGGUGCGUAAGCCUCAUCACAGUUGUAAUAGAGGCCUUCUACCUUCUGGCUCUCAUCUCAGGUAUGGUAAGUGUUUUUCUCUGUGGUAAUAAGGCUGGGGGUGUGUAUGGUGUGGUUUUUUGUAGAAAGGGUAUGGGAGGAGGGGCAGGGUUUUGCCAAGGCUUUUUGGUAGGUAUGGUAUUUGGUAUAGGUGGUUUAUAUGAGGGGUUGGCUCUUUUGGUAAGGCUUAAAUAGUGUGGACUUUUUUUCUGGCCAUAUCAAUGAGCUGGGGUAGGUUGUGGAUUGGAAAUAGGGAAAAUAAACUCUGAAUUUCUCCUGGUAAGCCAUUUAUGAAUCCAUGGAUGAAGCAACUCUCAUCAUAGGUUCUAGUGUUAAGUGCCAACGAGUAACACCUGAGUUCUUCAAACUUUUCAAUGUAUUCCUCCAAUGUUCUUGUCACCUUUAAUGAAUGGAACUCAUCCAAAACAUUACCCUCAUGUAGCUUCAAACCUUGAGGUCACCAAACUCACAAAUUGUCUUCAAUUCAGAUCUAUGUUCCCUAGAGUAACAUGGUUGUACCAGAAGCUGCCUUACCUUCAACAUGUAAGGAAGCCAUGACAACCCUCUGUUUCUCAGGUAUGUCUGGGAUUAAUUCAAAAUAGAUGUCACACCUUAGUAACCAGCUUCUAGGGUUUGUACCAUCAAACCUAGGAAAAUAAAUUUUGGGACUCGGAUUGAAACCUACUGAAAAUUGUUCCUAGUUAAUUCCCAUUUCAAAAGGUCUCUGCACCAUAACCUCGGGGUUUGUGUCUAACUACAGUUUCAUGAGUGGCAUUUAGAGGAAAGUUUGUGUUGUUUGAGGAGGAAGUAGCACUCCCCAUAUAGAUUUGUCCUUGUUGUAGAAUUCCAUCUUCACUACAACUUUGGCAAACUGCAACUGAAGCCUUUCUUGGAUGCCUGGAUCUGCUGCAUGGCUCCAUGGGAUUUUUGCAUCUGUGUUUGGCCAUCAGCUAGAGAUUGAGGAAGCAUGUUGAGUUCGUCUUGAAAGGAGAUCUCCAUCGCCUCUCUUCUUUCAGCUUUUUCCUGCAAUUUUUGUUCCAUAUGUUUUGCUCUGGUUUCAGUCAUAUUAGUCCCAGUUUGAUAAAUGUAACCUUGCUUUGGAUACCAAAUAUCAGAUCUUACUUUGUUUCUAUAUAUUAUUGUAUGAAUAAUGAAGAACAUAUAAGAAUAGAGUAAGAAUUGGAGAGAAAGAUAGAGUUGAGAGAGAAUUAGAAUAAAUUUCUGCUUAUUUCAUUCAUCUGCAAAACUCAUUACAUAUAGCGAAAGCUGCCAAAAGUGCAGUGCUAGAGGUAGUACAAUUAGCCUAACAAACCAAAUAGAAAAAUCACAAGUGUAAUAUUCCUCCAAAUAAAAUCUUCAUGUGAAUCAUCAAUCUUCACGCGCUCGUCACAACAUCUCCCUCUCGCCGUCCUUCACUGGGUUUGUUGCCACGUGCCAUAGUAAUUGAAACGUUGUCGUUUCUAACUAUUUCAAAAUCGAAUUCUCAAUUCUUUCAAAUCCACAAAUCAUCAGCAAUUCAUCCCUUCGCGCCCUAUGUGUUCGAAUUCCCUUCCUUCCCUAGGCCAUGACACAUGACUUUGGAUUUUUCUUUUUCUUGGAAUAAUUUUGUAAGAAAUUUUGAGUUGAGAGGGAGUUCGUUGUUGUUAGCAGUUGAGAAGAUGAUACGUGGGUGCAGAUCUGUAUUGUGGCGUGGCUGCUUGGUUGCCGAAUAGGGGUUUCGGUCCAUGAACGGAGCCGGCCAAGAUAGUGUUGGGGUGAGGUGCGCAGAGAAAUUAAAAUCAAAGUAUGUGUCUAUGUGUUCUUUUUCAAUUGGAGAAGAGGGCUUAAUUGAAAAUAUUAAGGACUGAAUUGAAAAUUUUAAAACUUAAUUUGGGUAUAAAAUUUUGGAGGUUGGACAUAUUUAUCUGGGACUUUUUCGUCUUUCCUUGAGAGGUCAAUGAAUAAAAAUAAAAAGGGUCGAGUGUACUUGUUUGAACAAUUUCCAGGGUGGGCUUUUGUCACUUUUUUUUAAUCCUGGGGGGUUGUGGCUUUAGGAUUAACAAAGGGUGGUUUUUGCAUUUAACUUCAAAUCGCAUUGUAUUAAGCAAAAUUAGAACAAAUUAUGUGAAGAUAAGCUUUAACAUUUGAUCCAAAGGUGUAGCAUAUGAAAUUCAAUUAAAUUUACAGAGAAAAUGACGUGACAAGAAAAAUGCGGUUUGAAAACUACAUUACACCAAAUUCAACCAAUCCUGUUGCAAUGCACUCGAAUCAAUCACAUGAAUCUUGUGCACAAAAAAUGAUUUAGAAAUGAACAACAUCGCAGAAGAAUCAACCAACUUAGAUGUAAAUAACUUGCACAUUUCAUUCACAGAGUCCAAUAAGUGAUCCACACUACUAAAACAACAUUCCAACAUGAAGAUAAAAUUUAUACCUUAAUAAAAAAUACUUUCGAUAUCUUAUAUUGUGUUAUAUAUUAAUUAUGAAUACUUUAUCUUGUAUUAAGUUUCAAAGACGAAAAUUUUCCGUGAUUGCUUCAUUUGUCAUGAGGAUCAGCAAAAGUUAAUGCCAAAUUCUCUCAUAUAUCAGACCUGAUUGCAGUCAUGGUCAAUUUUACGUAGCACUGUCAAACUGUAAGAGUAGAGGUGGCAUUGAGAUGUUGAUUGGUGGGAAUCGGAUGAACUAUAUAACGUUACUACAAUUUUUGUCUACAAAUUAAAAAUUAUUCCAACCUAUAUGAAGAUACAUACUACACAAUAACUAAUGACAUACUAUUAUUGGAAUGUACAUGUAUUUUAUUAUUUAGAAUCUUUUUCCAUUCUUUGCAUAAUGUACAUGUUAUCGACAAAUUAGAGGACUCAAUGGACCAAUACCUAUAGUUCUUGCAGACACUUCAUUUGUAUGUAAGGACAUCUCCUGCAGUCUUGUUCUUCUUUUUCCUUUCAGGGCAUUUUUUUUCUGAAGUGUCCUUUGUGGCAGGUAUAACACUUCCAUGGACCAUUCUCAGAUUGAUUUUUCUUUUGCUUUUCAAACUUUGGCUUGACUUUCCCUCUAUUUAUCUUCUCAGAAUUCGUGUCUUGUCUUCCUCUGGCAAACAAGGCCUUCAGUACUAGAGUUGCAUAUUGUUUCUAAUUUCUUAUGAAGCCCUUUUGCUUUUACAACAGAAACCACCUUCUCCAAGAUAUUGUCUGCUCCUUCCAUAAAUCAUGACAUCUUUAAAAAUUUCAUAACUCUUUCGAAUAGAGUUCAAAAUCGUUGGAGCCUUGUCUUCAUCUUCUAUGGUCACUUUUAUGUUUUCAAGAUCACCAACAAUUUUGUCGAACUCAUCAAUCUGUUGACUAACAAAUUUCUCAUCCACCAUCUUGAAAGAAUGAAGUCUUUGCUUCAGAUAACCUACUUGCCAAGAACUUUCUCAUAUACAACUGUUCAAGUUUCAGCCAUAUGGCUUGAGUUGAAGUUUGCCUCGAAACUUCUCUUAGUGCUUUAUCUCCAAAACUAAGAAUUAUUGAAUUGUGAGCCCUAUCCAUGAUUCCUUUUUCUUCAACCAUAAAAUGCAGACCAAAUUAAUACCAAACAUGAACUGGCCUUGUUACUAACAACAAAUAAUAAUUUCAAUCCCAAUCAAGAACCGCAAAGUGCAAACUGCAAUUCCAGAAGUAUAUCAAAUUCCAAAACAACUAGCAAUAAAUUAUAUACAAUACAGACCAUAAUAAUUUGCAGGCCAAAUUAAUAGAAACAAGAUGCUUCAACAAAAUACAGAGAGACCUAUAACAUCUAUACUCUUAAAAUGUCUGAAUAUUUACUUGAUAUCGAUGCUUCAACAUCAUCAAUUUUUCCACUUAGACAAAAAGGACCCAUAAAAAUGUUGGGGAUCGUGCAUGUAUACGCAGCGGAAUUUAAAAAUUUUAUAUCGAACUAGUUUCGAUUACAUGCAAUACUAAUCACAUAGUCAACGUACCUUAACGCUUCCGCCAUACAUAUGGUAAUUUUCGAUUUAAUUGAAAAAUACAUAAAACCGAAAAAUUACGAAACAUGCUUAUUCAUCAUUCAAUAAGAUCGAAACAUGUAAUCACGUAUUACUCAUGCUUGCAAAUUAAUAAUCAUACAAACAUGUUUGAAUCGAAUUACGAAAGUUCCGAUUUGAUUACCUCUUGUAGCGUGAGAUUUCGACGAAUCGAAAUCCUAGAACGAGUCACGUACAAGCUGCUAAUUACCAAUCCACGGGGCUGCACCUCACGGCUGGACCGAGCUGAUCCAGCAAGCAACGAGCGGCGACGAACGGCAGCAGCAGCGGCGGCGCGUGGCAGCGGCAGCGGCGGCGCGUGAGCGGCGGUGCGGCGCGUGCGGUGGUGCACGGAUUCGUCGGGGCAGCAGCUCCUCUCCAAUUAGGUUUCACCUCGUAUUUUCGACCCACUCGAACUAUAGCACUAGAUAUAAACGAGUUAGAUAACAACACGAAUAAAACGAAGGAGAAAGAGGAGAAAACCGGCAGUGUUUCCGGCGGUGGUCGGCGGUGGCGCGGCAGAGAUGCAACGGCCGAGAGGUGUUGAGCGGCUAGGGUUUUUGUGCUGAAAAAUCUGAUCUCAAAACUCCUUUUGAGGUCUAUUUAUACCUAGGGUUUUCAACCCUAGCGGGCUUAAGUCAUUGGGCUUGACCCACUGAUGCAUUAAGCCCAUCCCCUUGUCGGCCUCAUUUCCAACAAACGAUCGUCCACAAAAUUAUAACAAAAUUAUAUUUGUGACGAGCUCAAAGUCCUCGUCGAUACGAGUGCCUCUUCGAAAUUUCCAAUUUCCAAAAUUGGAAACUUCCACUUCAGUGGACUUGCUAAAUCGGGAAGCUUCCCAAUUUAGAAAGUUCACUAAAUUCCGCAUGUCUCUCUUUCUCUACGUUUAUUCCAAUUCGCAAUUCACAAUUGCGAAUCUUGGAUUCAAUCAUAUUGACAUCCAAUCGUUCAAAGAUUAACACAUUAAUCUAUGCUUGUUGUUAUCAAGGAUCUAUAUUACACGAGAAGUGUGACCCUCAAUGGUUCAGGUGUAUGCUAGCCGUGGGCUCACAACUCUUUGUGAUUCGAACAACACAUUGUUCUUAUACGAACUCCUCCCAAGAGUCCCGAUUAGAGUAAAACUCAUUUUACCUAAUCCCGAUCAAAUCGGUGCCCAACGAAUCAAGAUUGGCGUCUAGCAACUACGCGUCAUGAUUCCCUAGAUACAAAUGAAGUGCCUGCAAGAACCUUAUGAUAUAGUUAGCGUACAGUACGAUCCCUUCGUAGCACAUGUCCCGAUUGAACUAGAGGCAUUGGUUCACCGAGACCUCUUAUAAAGUUCAAUAACCGUGCGCACGUUCUAGGUAUUAUAAAUCCGUUCGUGUGCGACUUAGGGAAACACAUUUCCCUAAUCACCCCACUAUCAACUCUGGCCAGAGAUUCCAUGGAUUAUAAACCGUCAGAACACACAGGACAUCCAUGACUACUCAAGCGCUCGAAUCCCCUACUACAAUGCACAGACUUCACACUAGAUUUCGGAUUGCACGAACGUUGGCCCUUGGAGCGGUCCGCGGUGGGACUCAGGGACAGGUCACGAUACAAUCGGUCCUCUAGUGAAGUCACGGUGAUGUCUGGGUCUUAAGGACUAAUGGUGUACAACUAUAUCUUAGAAACCUAUUACUCGAUGAAUGAGAACCACUUAUAGAUUUCUAGGGCGAGGGAGUUCAGUGAACUCAUCCAGUAUGAGCACCCACUCAAGUAUGCCGAUGUCACAACACCGAGGACUGAUGAGACGCAGUACACAUACACUAAGUGCUAGUCUCAAAAGGGAAAGGCCGGUAUCCUCAUUAUUGGCGUAACCCAUCGACUAGGAACAAGGUUUAACAGUUACAUUACAUUGCUGAGUUAUCUCAUGAUUCUACUAGAUCAACUCACAGUAAUAGAGUAACUCGUUAGGACUAUAUCUAUGCUGCUUGCAUGGGAUAACAGAUAUAGAAUGCCAAAUAAGAUAUUUUAUUAUUACGAACGAAAAACGAUUGUUUUAUUACAAAGAAAAGAGAAAGACCACAGCCACAAGUUGGCUUGCCGGUCACCUACUCUAACAAUCUCCCACUUGACCUAAAGCCAACUACUCAUAAAUCUAAGUCCCAUCGACUCUCGAUGUUUCUCGUGGACUGAUCCUGACAAUGGCUUGGUGAAGGGAUCUGCAAUAUUGUCCUCCGAGGUGACUCUGUCUAGCUUGACUUCACCUCUCUCUAUGAUCUCUGGGAUCACAUGGUAUUUUNNNNNNNNNNNNNNNNNNNNNNNNNNNNNNNNNNNNNNNNNNNNNNNNNNNNNNNNNNNNNNNNNNNNNNNNNNNNNNNNNNNNNNNNNNNNNNNNNNNNGUUGAAAGUUCUAGGAUCACAUCCUUGGUCACCUUCAUCACGAGGAAUACCUAUCGGGCGCUCUCCGAACUCUUUCGGAUCUACGCAGCGACGGUCCAGGAGGUAUGUUAGUGGUUUGUUGAAUUUGUUCAUUAUCUGAUUGUUGUGCUUGAACUUCAGAUUGUGGUUCUCGAACUUCUUCGAGAUCAACUACACUGCCCUUUCUAUCCGAUAGAAAUUCCUUCUCAAGGAACACGGCAUUUCUCGAGACGAACACCUUUGCCUCGGAAACAUAGUAGAAUUCGUAUCCCAUGGAAUCCUCGGGAUACCCCACAAAAUAGCAUAGGUCGGAUUUUGUAUCCAACUUAUCUCCCACUAGCCGCUUCACGUAAGCGGGACAACCCCAUAUCCUAAUAUGUUUAAACGUGGGUUUCUUGGAGUGCCAAAGUUCAUAAGGUGUGGAGUUAACUGCUUUGGUAUUAACCCUAUUCAGCAAAUACACGGCAGUUAGGAGUGCAUGACCCCACAGGUAUGCCGGUAGCUCGGUGAACCCCAUCAUAGAUCGAACCAUGUCUAACAGUGUUCGAUUCCGACGUUCGGAAACUCCAUUAAGUUGAGGAGUUCCAGGAGGAGUCCAUUGAGAAAGAAUCCCAUUCUCUUUAAGAUAGUCUAUAAACUCAGUACUUAAGUAUUCGCCACCACGAUCGGAUCGUAGUUUCUUAAUACGUCUACCGAGUUGGUUUUCUACUUGGUGUCUAAAAUCUUUGAACCUUUCAAAAGUUUCAGACUUAUACUUCAUUAAGUACACGAAACCAUACCUAGAAUAAUCGUCGGUAAAGGUAACGAAGUAGUUAAAACCACCCCUAGCACUAACGCUUAGUGGACCACACACGUCUGAAUGGAUCAAAUCCAAAAGACCCUCGGCCCGUUCCAUCUUCCCUUUGAAGGGAGUCUUGGUCAUUUUUCCUUUAAGGCAGGAUACACAAGUUUGAAGUGAUUUAACGUCCUUCAAGGAGAACAUUCCUUCACUAACAAACUCGUUCAUCCUUCUCAAGGAAAUGUGACCUAGUCGAGCGUGCCAAAGUUGUGCGGGGUUAAGACUUAUAUCUUUUCGUUUUGCUGAUAUAAUGUUAAUAGGUAUUUCACUUGGAUUUAGUUCAUAUAAGUUGUUUAUAAGUUGUCCCUUACAAAUCAUAUUUUGUUCCUUUUGUAUAAUGCAAAUCGAAUUUCCAAAAACAAAAGUAAAACCUUCAUUAUCCAAAACAGGAAUAGAAAUAAGGUUUCGAAUAAGUGACGGAACAAAUAAACAAUUGUUCAAAACAAUGGAAAAACUAGAAUCCAAAACAGAAAGAUAAAUUGUCCCAAUGGCUUCAGCAGCAACUCUUGCUCCGUUGCCCAUUCUUAGGUAGGUCUCACCCACAUUAAGCUUCCUACUUCUUGUCAUGAGCUGCAAAUCAUUACAAAGAUGUGAGCCACAACCAGUAUCCAAUACCCAAGCAGAAGAUUUAACGGACAAGUUAACUUCAACUAAAUACGUACCCUUUUCAGAACGUUUCUGAUCGAGGUAAGCCUUGCAGUUGCGUCGCCAAUGGCCCUUCUUUCCACAAUGAUGGCAAGCGUCAUCAACUUGCUUGGUGACCUUGUCAUUCUUCACUCCGCUCGACUCGCCCUUCUCAAGUUUCUUGCUCGGGCCGAAACUCCUUUCUUUCCUUUUCUUCUGCAAAGAACCUUUCUUCGCAGAAGGAGCAACUAGGAGAACAGAUUUCUCCUUCUUGAUCGUGGACUCAUAGCUGACCAACAUGUUCAACAACUCAUCCAAUGGUGGAUCGAGCUUGUUCAUGUUGAAGUUCAAUAUGAACGAUUCAUAAGAACUAGGAAGGGACAGUAGGAUCAAAUCCACCGAGAGCUCGGCCGGGAGGGUGACAUCAAGGCUCACCAGCUUCUCAAGGAGAGUGAUCAUCUUGAGACCGUGCUCGUGGACCGAAGCCCCUUCACGCAGCCUCAUGGUGAUCAACUCCUUGGUAGCUGAGUACCUCGAUGCCCUAGUAUUCUCACUGUACAUGCUUUCAAGAUGAUGCUUGAUAUCAUAAGCAUGCACGUGAGACUCAUACUUCCUCGCGAGCUCUGGCACCAUGGAUGCUAGCAUGUAGCACCUCGCAUGGAGGUCGUCCUUCUUCCAUGCCUCGAAGUGGCAGUCUCGUCAGCAGUAGCAGUCGCAGGAAUAGCAGCGGGGGGACGUUCAUUGAGCACAUAGAGACGCUCCUCGACUUGGAGCACAAGUUUCAGAUUGCGAAGCCAAUCCAAAUAGUUUGGACCGGUGAGUUUGUUUUGGUCGAGGAUUGAGGAAAGGGGAUGUUUGGACAUUGUUGCUGAGAAAAUUUUAAGAAGACAAUAAUUAGAGUUUAGUUCGUAAUAAUCGUUACAAUUAAAAUUUUGGACUUGUAUGUUUUAAUUGUUCUCCCACUAAUUUUAUCGAAUUCCACCACCCUCUAGCAGACAAUCGAGAAAACUUGUUUUUCUUUAAUGGGCUUUAGGUCCAAUAGCGCAAAUGUAACCCGUAGUUAAUCUAUCCCGAUUACAUAAGCCUAAAGGUAGAGUACUAUCAAUCACAUCACUAUGUGACCCUAAAGAUCGAUUUACCUCACACUUGAUAAUGACCUAAGUUAAUCUAGCGAAUAUCAAAAUCUUCGUGUGUCAAGUCUAGCCUACCAAUAUGAGAUGUCAUAGAUCCAACUAUAUCAAACUAAUGCAAUCCCUAGUUAAUCUAGCCGACCACAUUAAUCCAACAUAAUUUUAUCUAUGACCGUAUCUCCAUCUAAUGUCAAUUAAAUUACAGCUUAUCCCACAAUAGCACUCCCCGCUAACACGGCUUACUGCACUAUCAUGAGAGGCUACACAUAACUUAAUUGUUGGUAGAAGGAAAGAAAAAUUCAACAAUUUGGUUCUUCUUUAUAGCUUGAUAAUUAUUCUUAAUAAAGAAUGAGGGAUUUUAUUUAUUAAAUCUUAUUAGCUCAUCGGAAGUUUUAGGUUAUGAUCGUUUGUGAUUCCUACAACUAUGUUCUCUAGGUAUGUGGAAACGCAUAUUGAUCCUAAGAGAGACAUACGAUCAUCAUCGUACUUAAUCACAAUUAUUCAUCUCAUGAAUUAAUUAAUAAAUACGAUUAAUUGCAAAUAUUAUUAACGGACUUCUUUCAUUCAUAAAUCAUUCAAAUAAGAAUGAAGUCCAUUAAUUUAUUUGCCAUCUAAUUUGUGUUCCAUUAAUUAAACUAAUUUAACGAUUAAAUUAAAUAAUUAAUCCAACACUAUCCUUUGAAUUCAAAUUAAAUUAAUGGAUCAAUUAUCUAAUUGGGUUUAAUUGAUAAAUAAUUUCAAAAAUUAAAAAUCAAUUAAUUUUAAUAUUAAUUCUCAGAAAAUCAAAUAAUUUUUUUUUUUUUUUUUUUUUUUUUUGCGCUGACCGGACCGGUCGGACCGGUCCGACCGGACCGGUUCGGUCAGCUGGAAAAACAGCAGAAAAACGAAUUUUAAAAAUUUUAUAUUUUCUGAAAUAUUCAAAAUAUUAAUUAAUAUUAAACCACCCAAUUUGAUAACACCAAAAAUUCAACAAUUCAACAAAUCGAAGCAUGCUUUCGAAAACGAUAAACACGUUGACAAAUAAACGAUUAACCCGUGGCUCUGAUACCACUGUUGGGGAUCGUGCAUGUAUACGCAGCGGAAUUUAAAAAUUUUAUAUCGAACUAGUUUCGAUUACAUGCAAUACUAAUCACAUAGUCAACGUACCUUAACGCUUCCGCCAUACAUAUGGUAAUUUUCGAUUUAAUUAAAAAUACAUAAAACCGAAAAUCACGAAACAUGCUUAUUCAUCAUUCAAUAAGAUCGAAACAUGUAAUCACGUAUUACUCAUGCUUGCAAAUUAAUAAUCAUACAAACAUGUUCGAAUCGAAUUACGAAAGUUCCGAUUUGAUUACCUCUUGUAGCGUGAGAUUUCGACGAAUCGAAAUCCUAGAACGAGUCACGUACAAGCUGCUAAUUACCAAUCCACGGGGCUGCACCUCACGGCUGGACCGAGCUGAUCCAGCAAGCAACGAGCGGCGACGAACGGCAGCAGCAGCGGCGGCGCGUGGCAGCGGCAGCGGCGGCGCGUGAGCGGCGGUGCGGCGCGUGCGGUGGUGCACGGAUUCGUCGGGGCAGCAGCUCCUCUCCAAUUAGGUUUCACCUCGUAUUUUCGACCCACUCGAACUAUAGCACUAGAUAUAAACGAGUUAGAUAACAACACGAAUAAAACGAAGGAGAAAGAGGAGAAAACCGGCGGUGUUUCCGGCGGUGGUCGGCGGUGGCGCGGCGGAGAUGCAACGGCCGAGAGGGGUUGAGCGGCUAGGGUUUUUGUGCUGAAAAAUCUGAUCUCAAAACUCCUUUUGAGGUCUAUUUAUACCUAGGGUUUUCAACCCUAGCGGGCUUAAGUCAUUGGGCUUGACCACUGAUGCAUUAAGCCCAUUCCCUCGUCGGCCUCGUUUCUAAUAAACGAUCGUCCACAAAAUUAUAACAAAAUUAUAUUUGUGACGAGCUCAAAGUCCUCGUCGAUACGAGUGCCUCUUCGAAAUUUCCAAUUUCCAAAAUUGGAAACUUCCACUUCAGUGGACCUGCUAAAUCGGGAAACUUCCCAAUUUAGAAAGUUCACUAAAUUCCGCAUGUCUCUCUUUCUCUACGUUUAUUCCAAUUCGCAAUUCACAAUUGCGAAUCUUGGAUUCAAUCAUAUUGACAUCCAAUCGUUCAAAGAUUAACACAUUAAUCUAUGCUUGUUGUUAUCAAGGAUCUAUUGUACACGAGAAGUGUGACCCUCAAUGGUUCAGGUGUAUGCUAGCCGUGGGCUCACAACUCUUUGUGAUUCGAACAACACAUUGUUCUUAUACGAACUCCUCCCAAGAGUCCCGAUUAGAGUAAAACUCAUUUUACCUAAUCCCCGAUCAAAUCGGUGCCCAACGAAUCAAGAUUGGCGUCUAGCAACUACGCAUCAUGAUUCCCUAGAUACAAAUGAAGUGCCUGCAAGAACCUUAUGAUAUAGUUAGCGUACAGUACGAUCCCUUCGUAGCACAUGUCCCGAUUGAACUAGAGGCAUUGGUUCACCGAGACCUCUUAUAAAGUUCAAUAACCGUGCGCACGUUCUAGGUAUUAUAAAUCCGUUCGUGUGCGACUUAGGGAAACACAUUUCCCUAAUCACCCCACUAUCAACUCUGGCCAGAGAUUCCAUGGAUUAUAAACCGUCAGAACACACAGGACAUCCAUGACUACUCAAGCGCUCGAAUCCCCUACUACAAUGCACAGACUUCACACUAGAUUUCGGAUUGCACGAACGUUGGCCCUUGGAGCGGUCCGCGGUGGGACUCAGGGACAGGUCACGAUACAAUCGGUCCUCUAGUGAAGUCACGGUGAUGUCUGGGUCUUAAGGACUAAUGGUGUACAACUAUAUCUUAGAAACCUAUUACUCGAUGAAUGAGAACCACUUAUAGAUUUCUAGGGCGAGGGAGUUCAGUGAACUCAUCCAGUAUGAGCACCCACUCAAGUAUGCCGAUGUCACAACACCGAGGACUGAUGAGACGCAGUACACAUACACUAAGUGCUAGUCUCAAAAGGGAAAGGCCGGUAUCCUCAUUAUUGGCGUAACCCAUCGACUAGGAACAAGGUUUAACAGUUACAUUACAUUGCUGAGUUAUCUCACGAUUCUACUAGAUCAACUCACAGUAAUAGAGUAACUCGUUAGGACUAUAUCUAUGCUGCUUGCAUGGGAUAACAGAUAUAGAAUGCCAAAUAAGAUAUUUUAUUAUUACGAACGAAAAACGAUUGUUUUAUUACAAAGAAAAGAGAAAGACCACAGCCACAAGUUGGCUUGCCGGUCACCUACUCUAACAAAAAAUUGGUGAUUAACUCAUUAUCAAAGCUUCUAAAAGCAUAUUCAAUAAAAGCAAAAAAAUUACUUACCAAGAUUGGUACGCUUUUUGCACAAUCGUUUUGGCUAUUGAGGUUCUCCAGUGUUGCGGUUAUGAGGCAAUGCAUAAAUUAAAUUAUAUGAGUAUGUGUAAAUUACUUAAGGUAAUGCACAAUAUAAAAAAAAAUUGCAUUACUUAUAAAAUAUUGAGAACAAAAUAAUAUUUAGUAUUAUAUAUUAAAAUAAUACUAAUUCAAAUAUAAACUAUUGAACUAAACUAAAGAAACCAAUUUUAAAAAAGUUAUGCUGGCGCCAGAUUUUUGUUAGUGAAGAUUGAUGAAAUUCGCCAUACUUUGAAAUGAAAAGAUUGGCAAAGAUUUUUUUCCAUGUUUAUUUUGGAAUUAAUUAGAUACCUAUUCUCGUAAUAUUUUUAUUAGGACUUAGAUUUAUUUCCAUGUAUUAUAUUCUACUGAGGUAUCUUUUGUACUUAUCUAGAAUAGAAGUAGAAAUCGACUAAGACUCUAUUACUUAGUUGAAUCAAUUUCUUAGGGCACAAGUUAGGUUUAGGGUGGUGAAUUUCGUGCCUAUAUAAAGCCAUCAACCUCAUAUGAGUCCCAUGAACCUUUAAUCGAAAAAUCCCAGCAUAAAGGCUUUAAAAGGUGCAGCCGGUGUUGCAGCCCUGUCUACACGUCAGGUGUGGCAACAUAACGGGUUUCUUCUAUCAGACCAUAAAGAAGAUCGGCGUUUCGGGAGAAGUUCUUAAAAGAUCUAGGGAGAGGUCGAUCCGCCGUCUGAAGGGAGUUCAACAUUGGAGGAAGUCCAAGAGUGCGGAUGGAGGAAUUGCUUUGAUUAUCAACAAGUUCGAGUCGUGUGCAAGAACGGCGUAUAACAUAAAGAGGGAGUCUUUAGUGUUUUUAUUAAGUCCAAUAUUGUACACUUAAAUCUGAACUAGUUUGCAAGUCCUCGUGGAUCUAGGGUACAUUUGUAUCCGAACCACAUUAAAUUCUUGUGGUCUUUUAUUCUACUUUUAGUUGAUUAAUUCUGUAUACUUAGUAUCUGAUUUUAGGUUUUGAUUUAUUUUAUUUGCUUAUUGGAUGACGUAUGUUCACAAGGAAGGUUGAGACGGAAGUCUGGCAUGACAUUCACCCAAUUCUGUUGCGUUGUAACAUGCCCGUGAUGGGACACUCUGAUAGAAGACCAAAAAUGGGUGAAGAAAAAUGACGUCUAUGUUGUAGGGGGAGUCAUAUUGACAACAUGGAAUUGUAACCAAUCUAUGCUAAAAGGUGAGAUUGUUUGCGCCAUAUUUCUGUUAGUGAAGAUUGAGGAAAUCCACCAUACAUUGAAAUUAAAAGAUUGGCAAAGAUUUAUUUCCAUGUUUAUUUUUGAAUUAAUAGAGUCCUAUUCUUGUCAUAUUUUUAUUAGGACUUAGAUUUAUUUUUGUGUAUUAUAUUCUAGGUAGGUAUCUUUUGUACUUAUCUAGAAUAAAAGUAGAAAUCGACUAGGACUCUAUUACCUAGUUAAAUUGAUUUCUUAGGGCUCAAGUUAGGUUUAUGGUGGUGAAUUUUGUACCUAUAUAAAGCCCUCAAUCUCAUAUGAGUCCCAUGAAGCUUUAAUCGAAAAAUCCCAGCAUAAAGGCUUUGAAGGGUUCAGCCGGUGCUGCAGCUCUGUCUGCACGUCAGGUGUGGCAACAGAACGGGUUUCUUUUACCAGGCCAUAAAGAAUAUCGGUGUUUCAGGAGAAGUGCUUAAAAGAUCUCGGGGAGAGGUCGAUCCGCCGUCUGAAAGGUGUUCAACAUUAAAGGGAGUCCAAGAGUGCGGAUGGAGGAAUUGCUUUGAGCAUCAACAAGUUCGAGUUGUGUGCAAGAACGACGUAUAACAAAAAAAGGGAAUCUUUAGUGUUUUUAUUAAGUCCAAUAUUGUACACUUAAAUCUGAACUAGUUUACAAGUCCUCGUGGAUGUAAGGUACAUUUGUAUCCGAACCACAUUAAAUUCUUGUGUUCUUUUAUUCUGCUUUUAGUAAAUUAAUUAUGUAUACUGUUAAGUGUAUAUUUUUACACUUUAUCGUAUCUUUUUAUUUGAGAUUUUUGUGUGAAUUUACGAUAAUUGGUGCUUAAAAAGUUGAUUUAUUGUAUUCUAGGUACAAAUUGAAGAAUUGGAAAAGUUUGGGGUCAAAACUGCAAUUUUGGAGAAAAUAUGGGCCAAAAGUGAAAUAAUCAAAAAUAUGCUGAAAUUGGCUGAAAACAGGCCCGCACGGCCGUGCCAAAAUUAGCCUAUUUUUGGCACGGCCGUGCCAAAUGCUGAAUUUGGGCAGAAGGUUUGGCGAUUCUCGCGCGGCCGUGCGAGAAUUGCACUGAUUUUCGCGCGGCCGUGCCAACACACGCUGGACACAAUUUUGGACUUUUAAACACACAAGGAAACCUAGAAUCAUCUACCAAGUUGGGACAUCUAUUUAAGCCCAAACCAAGCACGAAUCAAAGGACUUUUGACACAACCUUGGAGCGAGAGGAGCGAGAGAACGAAGAAUCGAAGACGGAGAAUUGACAACUCUUCAUCAUAAUUCUUCUUUCACCUAUCUUUUCUUAAUCUAUGACUUUUAUUACUUUUAUUAUGUUUUUCGUUAUGAGUAGCUAAGUUUUUAAUCUAGGAUUUUGUUGGAACCCUAUGUGGGGAUUGUGAACCCGUUUUCUUGAGAUUAUGCAAUUAUGAUUUUAUGCGUUGAGACAUAAAACUCUUAUGGACUGAAGCUUGGGCUGCUCGAAGUAAAUGCACAAUGGAGCAUGGUCAGAUAGAGAGCGAUCAAGGUGUACCACCUUCAAAGUUGGAAACCGGAGCUGGAAAGCAGAGUUAACCAAUACUCUAUCCAAUCGGCUCCACACCCGGUUAGUACCAUGUCGGUUGUUGCUCCAAGUAAACGGGUUUCCUAUGAACCCUGCAUCGAGAAGACCCGAUUAAAUAAAAAAAUUCUGGAAAUCAUGGAGUCUUGUAGCGUCAUUCAAGCCUCCUUUCUUUUCCGACACAUCUAAAAUCGCAUUAAAAUCACCACCUAGAAACCAAGGAUCCGAGAUAACUUCAUUCAUAGCAGAGAGGUGAGCCCAAAGAUCCUUCCUUGAAUGGUGAGAACAAGUAGCAUACACAAUGGAAGCUGUGAAGUGCGGUUUACUAGGGGUGGUAAUAGAAACUGUGAUAGCUUGUUCAAAAAUAUUCGGGCAUUGAACAUCUACCUUGGCUUUCCAUAGUAUCCAUAUGUAUUGGUUUUUAUCCUCACCGUGUAAGUAUGAGGGAAAACCUAAUUUCCAGGCAAAAUUGUGCAGCCUAGCCAUGGGAAGUUUCAGUUCUAAUAUCACCAAUAAAUUGACCCGUUGUUGAAAAACGAGGGUUUUUAUAUGAUUAAUUUUAGAUUGUGGACAGACCCCCCGCGCAUUCCAAAUUAAACACGACAUGAUUAAACUUGGAGAUUGGCAGAGAACUUUGCCAGAUAUCUGGUAACUCGAUCGGUAGGUGGGAUAAAAUACCUACUAUUAGGGUUUAGAACUUUAGUUCCAGGAGCUCGCACAGGGACUUCACCGUCCGAUUUUGGAGACAUGGGUACACCUGUUUCGUCAUCUUUUUCCCCGUCGGGAUGGUAAAUUGUAAGGGUCAAAUUCGCAUCACCUACCAAAUGUAAUUGAUCAAACUGAUUUUCAACUGCAAUUGAAUCGUCUCUCAUUUUUUUUAUUGGUUGUUGGAUUUAGGGAAGCGUUUUCUAAAGUUCGUUCCGCUUCGUGGAAGUGGGCUUGCAUGGAUGGUUGUUGUAUGUCACCAGCAUCAGUGUUGGAAGUGUGGGUGUUUUGCGUCUCAUCUACGUGGCAUGUUGAGUCUCGAGCACCGUCAAUGUGUUGAGUAAGAUUUGAACCGUCUUGAGUCUUGUGCUUAGGUUUUAGACCGGUGUCCACCUGAUAACCAGCAGUUGUACCAGACGUGGUAGGGAGUGGAGUCUCGAUAUUUUUCGACAUCCUUGAUACAGAUUUUGGGUUAGAAUCAGCUGCAAGGAUAUGACCGACCUCAUCCUGAGUAGUAUCGGUCUCACCAUGGUGCAAUAUAUGAGUAGGUUGUUUCUGCCCCAACGGUUUUGGCUUGCUAGGAGGUUUCGGUAACCCUUGUUUUUUCCUACAUGCUCCAACCAGAUGCCCCAACAACCCACAAUGAGAGCAGUACAGGUGAUUACCUUCAUACUCGACUUUUUGCCACCACCCAUCCUCCUUGGAUGUACCUAUGAAUAUCGAUUCCGGCAAUUGCUUUGCAACAAUAACCUCUAUGCAAACUCUCGCGUAAUGUGUAUGUGUAAAAGCCAACGUUCUAUCAUCCACUCGUAAGACAUUACCAUGCGCUGUUCCAAUUCGUUCCAAAGAUGAGACCUUGAAAUAUGGGAGCGGUAACUUAAGGAGACGAACCCAAACUGCAACCCUGCUACUAUCUUUGCCUAUAGAAAAUUCUGGUGUCCAACGAAAAAGUCGGAACAUACAAUUCUUUAUAUUAUUCAAAUUGCGUGAAAGGGCGAGCUUUGCAUCUUGAGUCGAGCCCAUAUGAAUCGUGAUAUGUCUUGGAUCUAAAAAUCCUAUAGCUGGCUCCGACACUAGAUUCCAUUUUGUAUUGAUGUGUGUACAGAUAUCUUGUAAACUUGGGCGGCCUGCCAAGAUUUCAUGAUCAGUGUAUAGUCUACCUGACGAUUUAGUUGGUCGAUUUCCAUUGACGAGAAGAACACCGUCGGAGCUUGUUCAACAGACGAGGUGGGGCGAGGGGCUAAAGCAACGGGGACUAGGCGGGGAGGUGAAGUUGUUCUUUGGUUGGUCAGCAUGGCCGCAAAAGAGGGCUGGGGUUGCUGCCUUGGAGGCGCCAGCGGCUGGUCCGGUGGUUGCAUGCCGCCGGAAUAGGACAAAAAGCGGAGAUGGGCAGCUAGGGUUAGGGUUCGACGAUGAGAGAGAGAAGAGACGCAAAAUUAUCUUCUAAUUCACAAAAUAUUACAAGUAUUAAAAAAGGGGGAAUGCGAUAUAGGCUCAUGGAAUAAAGUUUUGUUUGAAAUCAGCUCACCUUGAACUUUUAUUUCAAAUAGAGCCAUAAAAACAUGAAUCCCAAAAUAACCCUCACCUAUUUUCAUUUCAUAUAAGCAUCAAGUGUUGGAAAAAUAAAAAAAUAAAAUUAAUGAACACAACAACACCCAACACCACCUCACCCCACCCCACCCGGUUAUUAUUGUACUCUUAUUUUCUUUGAUACGACAGGUGGUCGGAGUCCUGAGCAGACUCAACUUAUCAAUAUUGGCUUAAUUCCACUUUGCAUCCUUGAAAAAUAAUAAUAGCAUUUUGCACCCUCAGGACACAAUAAAUCCUUCACAAUGCACCGUUAAUUGAAUAAUAAAGGAUAAUUCAUUUAUUAUGGUUUUGUUUCUUUUUUCAGGGUACAAAAUAACAAAUUAAAUUGUUAUUUCUUUGACCUCCAACCUAAUUUCGAGCGCACAAAGUGCGCAAAAAUUAAAAUCACACUGAUAAAUGAUUUUUGUUUUUCUUAGACAAUAAAAUCAAUUAGACUGUUAUUACUAAAUUAUUCGAUUGAUGGAUCUUUUAUGGUAAUUGGUAAAAAUAUUAGGUAGAAAUAUUUUGAAGAAACUAUGAUUUUCUGAUAACUUGAUAAUCAAAUAGCUGAAGAAUUUUUUUUUCGUAAAUUUUUUUGUCAUAAAAAAAUAUAAUUUUUAAAUACCACUAAACAUAUUAACUUACCUUUAUUAGCUUUAAAAACUCGUAUGGGGUGCAUUAUGCAUGAUAAUUUGUGUUUUGAGGGUACAAAGUGCUAUUAAUUUGUUUUGACGGUGCAAAGUGUCAAAAUAGUAUAUUUCAAGGGUGCAAAGUGGGAUUAAGCCUAUCAACAUCAGUUCACUUUAUACCAUAUGCUAAAAUCUGACUUAUUUUGCUUUUUUUUAACCAGUGGAAGAUCGUUGGAGCUCAAAUCAUCUGUCAGAGCAGACUCAACAUUAGUUAACUUCGGCUUCACCUGAAACCAGACUUUUUUCAGCUCUGAUUUAGUUAACUAAAUAAAGUUAAAUGAUGCAGAAAUCAGAUAAGAUUUAGUUAGUUAAUCAGAGCUCCGACGAUCCGUCGUUGGAAAAAAAAAAAGAAAAAGAUGUUAGCUAAUAUUUAAUCAGCUAAUCACAACUCCGAUGAUCCGCCGUCGAAAAAAUAGGUAGAAAGAAAAAAUAUUUUCUCAGCUAGUGCUGAAGUCAACUAAUGUUUUGUAAGAUGAUCGGAGCUCCCACAAUCCGUUACUUGAGAAAAAGAGAGGAUAAAAAAGAAAAUCAAUCAGAUAUCAGCUAAUGUUGGUUUGUAAAGUCAGCUAAUCAGACCUCCGAGACCCGCAAUCGAAAAGAAACAAAAAUUAAAAAUAAAUAAAUAAAUAAAAAUAAAAUCUUAUUAAUGAAAAUAAGGUUGCUUCUGGUAAGCUCUAGGGGCUUUCCCUCUAAUUUAAUAGUUCCAAUAGUCACUUAAUUUCAUUUAAUAUAAUUAAUUUUAAUAAUAUUUAUUAUUUGCUCCUAUUUUUUGCCUCAAAUCUAUGUAAUUAAUUAUUGAUUCCUAUUAAUACUUUAUUUACUCCAUUAAUUUUAGCAAUAUUUAGUAAUUGACUCCUACUAUUUUUCCCAAACAUAUGAAAUUAAUUAUUAGUUCCUAUUAUUAUUUUAUUCACUAAAUUAAUUCCCAUGAUUAAUUGAGAAAUCUGAAGAUGUAACACACCCCCCCCCCCCCCCCCCCUUUUUUUAUUCCAGUUACUUUUAUUAUUUUAUUUACUCAAUUCGUUUCACAGAUUUUUUGCCCCAAAUCUAACUACACAUAUCUUUCUUUGACAAUAUUUUUCUUUAUCCCACUUCUCUCUACAAUCACCUCUCCCGUCUCCUUUUUUUAGAUUGUUUUAUUGAGUUAUUUAGUAUCUUUUAAGAUUUUCUUCCCCAAAUCAACCGAUGUAUCUUUUUCCCACUUCUUUCUACGUAUCUUUCGAAAAACCUACUUAUAUCUUUCUCCCACUUCUGUGUAGGGAUCUUUCUCCCUACCAAAAAUCAUCUCCAUUCAUCGGGUUAGUUUUGAAGAAGUAACUUUGUUCAUUAAGUCAAUUUCGUAUCUAUAGAUGUAAUGGACAGUUCAUUUUCUUUUAUGUUAUUCUUUCAACAUUAGAUUCGUUCCUUUUUCUAAUUCUAUGUUUUUGUUCUUUUAUUCAUAAUAGCAGAUAUGGCUCCAAAGCCGUUCUUGAUUCAUGAAAUUAUUCCGGGCAAAAAGACUGAAGGGAAAAGUAUUUAUUUGGGAGAUACGUCUACGGUUCUUAACUGAUAAGUGGAAUCCAAAAGAGAAAGCUAGCAUCGAAAUGAUUUUUAUUGAUGAGAAGGUGAUUGUGUACUUAUUUGUUUAUUAUGUUUAUUUUUUCCUUAUUUAUGUUUUGAGUAUUCAAAAUGUAAAUAUAAUUGUGACAUUAUGGUUGCCCAUAUUUUGAUGGGCGAACAUAAAAUUUCCUCAUCAUAUUAUCUUUAUGUGAUAUGUAUAAUAAAGAGGUUCUCCUUGAUCCCUCGACCACUUUUGUAGGCUCAAAUGUUUUGGUUCUCUUCAUUUUACUGUGAAUUAAUGAAUUAAGAAUCUAGGAUCAUUUCGAAAAAUUUGAACAUUUAUAUUGUCUGUUGUUUUCCUAAAUAUUUGAAUUUAUUUAAUAAAAUUUUAGGAUCAGCGAUACGAUCCAGCCAAUAACGCGAGGUAGUGCCGAGCUGGAUGAGUGAGUUGAUGACUUGAACGAGCUGCAUGUGCCAAUAGGACCGAUUACGCGAGCUCGGGCCAAACGCAUUGAAGCAGCCAUGCUUAGCUUAGUAGAACACGAGCUCCGAAAGGAAUAAUUGACGAAAUCUAGUUCGAUCCCAGCUGAGGUUAAUUGGAGCGAAUUGUCGGGCCAGAUUGUGAAGUAAGCCGAGCUCAAGGACUUGAGCCCGUCUAGUCAUCCAGCCGAGAAGACGUGACAUGGAAAUGAUUAUUAUUAUUUAUUUUCGUAUUUUAUUAUUGAACAAUGUAUUUCUUGCUAUUUAGAGUCCGAGUUGGACUAAAUUUAGUUUAUUUGGUUAUUUCCUUAUAAUAGAUAAGUAAAGAUUUAUUUUCCUUAGAUCAGGUCUCUUUAACACUUAUAAAUACAGGUUGUUUUAGGGUCAUUAUUAUUUGGACGUUUUUAAGCAUUAAUUUGAGAGAUUAAAAACUAUCCUUCGUUGUUCUUCAACAACUCUUCGGGAUAUUUUGCGAGUGGAUUCUUGUGAACUAUUCUUAGCGAUAUAGUGUUGGUUUUUGAUUCAUAAUAAUCACGGGGUCAAUACUUUCAUCUUUAUAAUAUUGGUUUCUAGCUCUCUCUAGCAACGGGGUCAAUCUUCCGAAUUCCGCCAAUUGAAUCAUUUCUUUGGACGUUCCGUUCUUGCUUCCACGUAAGAUAUUUGGAUCUCGUAACAAGUUCUACGAGGUUCGUAUCAGUUGGUAACCAGAGCCUAUUUCCAAAACAGGUUUUUCCUAUCUUUUGUUUUCAUGUGUUUGAUUUCAUUUUUCUUUUCGUGUCGGUUAUUGAUUGUGUCUUCUAGUCAAUCUCAUCAUCUCUUGAUUUGUAUCUUCUAGAGUCUUCAAAAAAAAUGAAAAAAGAAAAUCCGAAAUCAGCAAAAAGAAGAUCGGACAUGGCAAAAAAAAAAAAAAAAAAAAAAGUUAAAGAAAUAGAGAGAAGAAGCACAAUUUGAAAAUACAAGCAAGCAAGGAUUCAAUUAGUUUCCUAGUCUCUGAAAUUCUUGUUUCCUUAUCUACCUUGUCUCCUUUUUUAAAUCCACAUUCUUUAGUAGUUUUCUACUGCAUAUCUCAUUCUUUCUUGUACCUUUUUGUUUCCUUUAUCAUAAAUUCGAAUUCCUCUUUUAUUUUCCUCCAAAUAAAUUCUGAAUUAAUCAUAUAUCAUUUAGCUUUGAAUAAAAAUGAAAUUUCACUCAAAAAAAAAUUCUCGAUUAGUUUCUUUAGAACUUUGAAGAAAGUUUACGAGUGGAAAAAGGCAAGAGAGUGUGAGAUCAAAAGAGGGUAAAAGCCGAUUUGUGUGAAACACGAGUGAAUUGAGUGGACAUCAUCUUGAGUGAUACAGAUAAGGGAAUGGUGAGGAAAAUCUUUUUUCUUUAACAAUAUUUUGCAGUUCGAGCACCAUGUCAUGGAAUGGUAGUGGUGGUGAAAGGGACGGAGCCACGGAGCAGCACUUCCAACAUCUGCAUAUAACCCUUCAAAUGAUGCAAAAUCAAAUCGAUGAGUUGAGUAGGGUAAGACCUGCACCGGCACCACAACUGCGGCAACCUAUUCGUCAACAUAUUCUAUGCCAACGUGACGAAUUGGAGUUCGAUGAAGGAUCUGAGGUAGAGUCUAAUACUUCUAGACGAUGGCGUAGAAGACAAGGGAAAAAAGGUGACAAAUUUGACAGACUGAGGCGAGGUAAUGUGGGACGAGAAAGAGAUGGAUCCCGAGGCAUACAUAGAAUGGGAAAGAAAGGUUGAGCUCGUUUUCGAUUGCCACACUUAUUCCGAGGAAAAGAAGGUGUAGCGUUCACCGAUUAUGCUAUCAUUUGGUAGAAUCAAUUGGUAGUGACUAGAUGCAGAACUGGCGAACCGCCAAUUUUGGAUUGGGAGUCUAUGAAGACACUUAUGAGACGGAGGUUCGUGCCCUCACAUUAUUAUAGAGACUUGCAUCUGAAAUUGCAAAGCUUGAAGCAAGGUGCUAAAUCAGUCGAGGAGUACCAUAAGUAGAUGGAGAUUGCAAUGAUUCGAGCCAAUAUUGAGAAGGAUCGAGAGGCCACGAUGGCAAGAUUUAUUUGCGGGCUGAACCAGGAGAUCGCUAAUGUAGUGGAGUUACAGCACUACGUUGAGAUUGAGGAGGUCGUUUAUAUGGCCAUGAAAGUUGAGAGAAAGCUUAACCGAGGGGGGAGAACAACAGCUCGGGCCAAGGCAUCAAGCUGGAAACCGCGAUGGAAUCCUACUUCGAAACCCGAGGAGAAAUCGACAACGAAACCUUCCAAUGAUCAUCCAAUCAACCGAGCACCAACUGAGAGAGGUAAUACUUCGUCACAAGCUAGGGCUGCAAGUCACCAAACAUCCGAGAACUUACAAACUUCAGUGGCUGAAUGAAAGUGGCGACUUGAGAGUGACGAAACAAGUAUUUAUUUCCUUUAGUAUUGCACAAUACAUAGAUGAGGUGAUGUGCGAUGUUGUACCCAUGCAAGCAAGUCAUAUCUUACUUGGGUGACCUUGGUAAUUUGAUCGACGAACAGUUCAUGAUGGUUACAAAAACUGCUACACUUUUACUAAUGAUGGCAUGCGAAUCACACUUGCACCUUUACCACCUCGUCAUGUGUUUGAGGAGCAAAAUUAGAUCAAGAAUUCCAUUGCUGCAAGUUCAAGACAAAAUGAGAAUGAACGUGCACGUGUUAGUAUUAGUGGAGAAGUAAAACAAGAGAGUUUAGCCGAAGUUAGAAAAGAAAAAGAAGAGAGUGCAAACUUAAUAAAGAGAGAUGGGAGAAAAGUGAGAUUUUAUGCAAAAGAAUGAGAGACUAAGAGUGCAUGUAAGGGUGAGAGAACAAUGAUGUUGUUAGUGUUAGGGGGUUCUAUUUUUCUAAUGCUAACCUUAAUUCUCCUUUGCCUAGUAUUGUUAUUUCUCUUUUGCAGGAGUUCGAUGAUUUCUUUCCCGACGAGACCCUAACGGGGUUGCCACCAAUUCAAGGGAUUGAGCACCAAAUUGAUGUUAUUCCUGGGUCCCAAAUUCCAAAUAGACCAGCUUACCGAAGUAGUCCCGAGGAGAGAAAAGUUAAAUUUUAUGCAAAAGAAUGAGAGACUAAGAGUGCAUGUAAGGGUGAGAGAACAAUGAUGUUGUUAGUGUUAGGGAGUUCUAUUUUUCUAAUGCUAACCUUAAUUCUCCUUUGCCUAGUAUUUUUAUUUCUCUUUUGUAGGAGUUCGAUGAUUUCUUUCCCGACGAGACCCUAACGGGGUUGCUAUCAAUUCAAGGGAUCGAGAACCAAAUUGAUGUUAUUCCAGGGUCCGAAAUUCCAAAUAGACCAGCUUACCGAAGUAGUCCCGAGGAGACGAAAGAGUUACAACAGCAAGUGGACGACCUGUUAGCUAAAGGACAUGUUCGAGAAAGCAUGAGUCCUUGUGUAGUGCCUGUUUUACUAGUACCGAAGAAGAAUGGGAGUUGGAGAAUGUUUGUUGAUUGUCGAGCCAUCAAAAAAAUUAUGGUAACGUAUCGACACCCCAUUCCUUGAUUAGAUGACAUGUUAGAUGACCUACAUGGUUCCAUUAUCUUAUCUUAAAUUGAUUUGAAAAGUGGUUGUCACCAAAUUCGCAUAAAAGAGGGAGAUGAGUGGAAAACUGCAUUUAAAACUAAGCAUGGAUUGUUGAAUGGUUAGUGAUGCCUUUUGGUUUAACUAAUACACCAAGUACGUUUAUGCGACUUAUGAAUCAUGUUAUGCGAUCUUACAUAGGAAAAUUGGUUGUUGUUUACUUUGAUGAUAUCUUAGUAUAUAGCAAUAAUUUGCAUGAUCAUGUUGAGCAUUUGAGAUGUGUCUUGGAGUCCUUACGGCGAGAACAAUUAUAUGCUAAUUUAAAGAAUUGUGAUUUCUGCCAAGAUAGGAUAGUUUUCCUUGGUUUUGUUGUGAGUUCUAGGGGCGUUGAAGUGGACGAGGAAAAGGUUAAAGCUAUUCGUGAAUGGCCAACACCCAAGAACGCAUCCGAGGUGUGAAGCUUCCAUGGCCUAUCGGGAUUCUAUAGGAUAUUUGUACCUAACUUCAGCACAAUUGCAGCACCUUUGACCGAGGUGAUCAAGAAGGAGGUUGGCUUCAAAAGGGGCGAUGCGCAAGAGAAUGCAUUUUGCACUUUGAAAGAUAAGCUAAGUUCCGCUCCUUUAUUACUUUUACCAGAAUUUUCUAAAACUUUCGAAAUCAAAUGUGAUUCUUCCGGAAUUGGUAUUGGUGCAGUGCUUAUGCAAGACAAGCGACCUAUCGCUUAUUUCAGCGAGAAGCUCAACGGCGCAACCUUGAAAUACUCGACCUAUGACAAAGAGCUCUACGUGUUGGUGCGAGCUUUGGAGACUUAGCAACAUUACUAGUUGUCUAAGGAAUUCGUAAUCCACACUGAUCACGAGUCUCUAAAGCAUCUUAAGGGCCAAGGCAAGCUGAACCGAAUACAUGCUCGGUCGGUGGAGUUUAUCGACAUGUUUCCUUUUGUGAUACAGUACAAACAAGGUAAAGAUAAUGUCGAAGCUGAUGCACUAUCUCACAGGUAUGUUCUCAUUUCGACCCUUAGCGCUAAAUUCUUAGGUUUUGAGCAUGUUAAGGAGCUGUACAUGAACGAUCAUGAUUUUGCUACUAUAUUUGCUGCAUGUCAAAAAGGAACUUUUGAAAAAUUAUACAAGCAUGAUGAUUAUUUGUUUAGAGAGAACAAACUUUGCAUGCCUAAUUGUUCGCUUCGUGAAUUACUUGUGCGAGAAUCACAUGGAGAGAGUUUAAUGGGACAUUUUGGUGUUUCAAAAACAUUAGAUAUUUUAAAAGAACAUUUCUUUUGGCCGCGUAUGAAGCAAGAUAUUGAGAGGGUUUGUUCGAAGUGUCUAACACGUAGGCGAGCUAAAUCUAGGGUUAAACCACAUGGAUUAUAUAUGCCAUUACCUGUGCCUACUCACCCUUGGACCGAUGUAUCAAUGGAUCUUGAUUUAGGGUUUUCGAGGUAGAGUAAAGGUCGACUUUAUAUUUUUGUUGUGGUAGAUCGUUUUUCUAAAAUGGCACACUUUAUUCCAUGUCAUAAAACUGAUGAUGCUACGCAUGUAGCAAAUUUAUUCUUUAGAGAAGUAGUGCGAUUGCAUGGGGUACCUCGUACUAUUGUUAGUGAUAGGGAUGUUAAAUUCCUUAGUUAUUUUUGGCGUUUUUUGUGGGAUAAGUUAGGUACGACUUUACUCUUUUCUACUACUUGUCAUCCACAAACCGAUGGUCAAACCGGUGAAGUUAAUCGAAAUUUAGGUAUGUUAUUGCGAGUUGUUCUUAAAAGAAACCUAAAGUCAUGGGAGGAAUGUAUUCAUUUUAUUGAGUUCGCGUAUAAUAGAUAGGUGCAUUCUUCUACAAAGUUUUCACCUUUUGAGAUUGUUUAUGGUUUUCAUCCGUUAACUCCUUUGGAUUUGUUGCAUUUACCUGUUAAUGAUAUUUCUAGUCUAGAUAGGAAGCGUAAGGCUGAGUUAGUGAAGAAAAUCCAUGAAGAAGCACGCGAGCACAUUGUGAAGAGGAAUGAGCAAGUUGCGAACCGAGCUAAUAAGGGGCGAAAGCACCUUACCUUUCAGCAAGGAGAUUGGGUUUGGGUUCAUUUACGAAAGAAAAGGUUUCCCAAUCAGCGGAGUUCAAAACUUAAGCCACUAGGAGAUAGACCGUUCCAAGUGCUGGAAAAUAUUAACGAUAAUGCAUAUAAGAUCGACCUUCCAAGUGAGUAUCAAGUAAGUUCGACAUUUAAUGUUUCUGAGCGAUCUCCGUUUUAUGUAGGUUCAGAUUCGAGGAUGAAUCCUUUCCAAGUGGGGAAGGAUGAUAUGAUCCAGCCAAUUACUCGAGGUAGUGCCGAGCUGGAUGAAGGAGUUGAUGACUUGGACGAGCUGCAUGUGCCAAGACGACCGAUUACGCGAGCUCGGGCCAAGCGCAUUGAAGCAACCAUGCUUAGCUUAGUAGAACACGAGCUCAGAAAGGAAGAAUUGACGAGGUCUAGUUCGAUCCCUGUUGAGCUUAAUUGGAGCGAAUUAUCGGGCCAGAUUGUGAAACAAACCGAGCUCAAGGACUUGAGCCCGUCUAGUCAUCCAGCCGAGAAGACGUGACUUGAAAAAAUGAUUAUUAUUUAUUUUCGUAUUUUAUUAUUGAACAAUUUAUUUCUUCCUAUUUAGAGUCCAAUUUGGACUAAAUUUAGUUUAUUUGGUUAUUUCCUUAUAAUAGAUAAGUAAAGAUUUAUUUUCCUUGUUAGAUUAGGUCUCUUUGACACUUAUAAAUAGGUUGUUUCAGGGUCAUUAUUAUUUGGACCUUUUUAAGCAUUACUUUAAGAGAUUAAAAAUUCUCCUUCGUUGUUAUUCAACAACUCUGCGGGAUAUUUUGCGAGUGGAUUCUUGUGAACUAUUCUUAGCGAUAUAGAAUUGGUUUCUGAUUCAUAAUAAUCACGGGGUCAAUAUUGGUUUCUAGCUCUCAAUAUCUACGGGGUCAAUAUUCCGAAUUCCGCCAAUUGAAUCUUUUCUUUGGACGUUUCUGUUGGGUUUCGGGCACGCGUACGCAGCGGAAAACAAAAAUUUUAUGUGAUUUAAACGACUUUAAAACACACAAGCACAUGCCCGAUAAAUUAAAUCAAUUAAUUGCGUACCUUUGCGCUUCCAGCGAAAUUAAAAACAAUAUACAUGCUAAAUAAUUUAACCGAAUUUUAAUCAAUUAACAUGCUCGCGUUUAAACCAAUAAUCAUGCUUGCAAAGAUUAAAACGAUUACACAUAAUCACAUAAAAUCAUACGAUAGCAAACAUGAAUUCAUAGUUUAAACAUAAACGAAUCGAAACUAGGGUUUCGUAUAUUUACCUCUUGAAGCGUGAGGUAGGAGCGUUUAGCAAGUCGAGAUUGCUACGGAAACCAAUCCGUACAAUCGGGGCAGCAGCGGCGAAUCAGCCACGGCGGCGCGUGAGGUACACGCCCGGUCUUCCGGGGCGGCGCGUGGGGCAGCGUGCGGCUUCGGCUCGUGCGCUGCUCUUCGAUUCCUCGAUCUUCGAUCUUCCUCCUCUUGGAUUUCACCUCGUAUACUUCGAUCUACUAAACACGUGGCACUAGACACGUAAUAGUUAGAAAAACGGAAGAAAAAGAGAAGGAAAAAGACUACCAAGGCAGUCGGCCGAUGAACGGCCGAUUCCGGCGAGAAUCCGGCGACGGCGCCGGUGAUGGCCGCGGGAGAGAGGCCGAGAGAGAGAGGUGGACGGCUGCUAGGGUUAGGGUUCUUGUUGUGUUGUUUUUUGUGCAAGACCUAUAAAUCAAGUAUUUAUAUGUCUUGCAUAAAACCCUAGCGGGCUUAAGUUGGACCGGGCCCAACAGCUUAAGUCCGUUAGUAUCUUUACUUGCUCGUCUCUCUUAAUUCAAUGACCGAAAAAUUGCAACGAUUACAUUUUCGGAUUCAUUAUAACUUCCUCGUCAUUACGAGUGCCAUCUCUCAUUUUCCAACUUUCCAAAAGUGGAAACCCUAGUUCAGUGCACUUUCUAAAUUUGGAAACUUCCCGAUUUAGAAAGUUCACUAAUACGUUCGCCUAUUCUUUUCCUUUUCUUAUUCUCAUUCAUAUUUCCAAAUUACGAAUGUUGGAUCCAAUCAUAUUGACUUCCAAUCAUGCAAAGAUAAACUAUUUUACCUUUGACCGUUUAUUCAAAGAUCUCAUGUGCACGAGCAGUGUGACCCUCGAUGGUUCAGGUGUAAGCUAGCCGUGGGUCCACAACCCUUUGUGGUCAAAACUCGUCCCUUAGAGUUACGAUUAAGAUGAAGCUCGUUUCAUCUUAAUCACCCAACGAAUCAAGAUUGGCGUCUAGCAACUACGCGUCAUGAUUCCCUAGAUACAAAUGAAGUGCCUGCAAGAACCUUCAGAUAUAGUUAACGUACAGUACGGUCCCUUCGAUACAUAUGUCCCGAUCGAACUAGAGGCAUUGGUUCAUCGAGACCUCUUUAUAUGUUCGAUGACGGUGCGAUCGUUCUAAGUGUUGUAAUCCUUACGUGCAUGACUUAGAGAAUCGAAUCCUCUAAUCAUCACUUAGUCAGCUCUGGCCAGAGACUUAGAAUGAUUACAAACUUUCAGAACACACAGGACAUCCAAGACUAUUCUAGCGAUCGAAUCCCCGACUACAAUGCACAGACCUCCCACUAGAUUUCGGACUGCACGAACACUGGCCCUUGGGAUGGUCCUCGGUGGAACUCAGGGACAGGUCACGAUACAGCUGGUCCUCUAGUGAAGUCACGGUGAUGUCUAGGUCAUAAGGACUAAUGGUGUACAACUAUACCAUAGAUUUCUCUACUCGAUUAUUGGGAACCACUUAGAGAUUUCUAGGGUGAGGGAGUUCAGUGAACUCGUCAACUUACGAGCACCCACUUAUGCAUGCCGAUAUCACAAUACCGUUUACUGAUGAGAUGCAGUAGACAUACACUAAGUGCUAGUCUUAAUGGGAAAGGCCGAUAUCCUCAUUAGUGGCGUAACCCUUCGACUAGGAACACGUUUAACAGUUAUAAUACUUGAGUAAAUAUCUCACGAUCCUAACGAUCAAUUACUAGUACUUGUAAUAACUGUAAGGACUAUAUCUAUGCUUGUGACAAAGGGACAAAGAUAUAGAAUGCCAAGGUGUUUUAUCAUUAAUACGAAUAAAGGUUCGUUUAUUACAAUAAUAAAUACGAAAGACCACAGCCACAAGUUGGCUUGUUGGUCACCUACUCUAACAAUCUCCCACUUGACCUAAAGCCAACUACCCAUAAAUCGCAAUCCCAUCGACUCUCGAUGUUUCUCAUGGACCGAUCUCGGUAAAGGCUUCGUGAAGGGGUCUGCAACGUUCUCUUCCGAGGUGACUCGUUCAACCUUGACUUCACCUCUAUCAAUGAUCUCUCGGAUCACGUGAUACUUCCUCAGAAUAUGCUUCGACUUCUGAUGAGAUCGUGGCUCCUUAGCUUGCGCCACGGCUCCGGUGUUAUCACAGUACAACGGUACUGGAUCACUAGCAUCAGGAAUGACACCCAACUCUUGGAUGAAUUUCCUUAUCCAAGUCCCUUCUUUUGCAGCUUCGGACGCUGCAAUGUAUUCCGCUUCGGUAGUGGAAUCGGCCGUCGUGCUUUGCUUGGAACUCUUCCAACACACGGCACCACCAUUAAGCGUGAAUAUAAAUCCAGAAUUCGACUUUGAGUCGUCCACAUCCGAUUGAAAACUAGAGUCAGUAAAACCCUCUAAUUUCAACUCGGCACCCCCAUAGACCAAAAUUAUAUCCUUAGUUCUUCGCAAGUACUUGAGGAUAUCUUUCACGGCUUUCCAGUGAGCCGGGCCGGGGUUAGACUGAUAUCUGCUUGUGACACUCAGAGCAUACGCAAUAUCGGGUCUCGUACAUAGCAUGCCGUACAUUAUGCUUCCUAUGGCAGAAGCAUAGGGCGUCCUUUUCAUCUCCUCGAUUUCACUAGGUGUUUGCGGACACAUAGAUUUCGAGAGACGAACCCCAUGGGACAUUGGCAAGAAUCCCUUCUUGGAAUGUUCCAUGCUAAACCGUUUCAUAACGGUGUCUAUGUACAGGCUUUGGGAUAAGCCAAGCAUCUUCCUCGCUCUAUCUCUAUAGAUGCGUAUUCCUAAUACGUAAGAUGCUUCUCCCAAAUCCUUCAUUGAGAAACGUGUGGACAACCAUGCUUUCGUUUGUUGCAGCAUUCCUACGUCAUUCCCAAUGAGUAGAAUGUCAUCAACGUAAAGCACUAAAAAUAUCACUGCCCUCCCACUAACCUUCUUGUAUACACAAGGUUCCUCCGGAUUCUUCUCAAAAUCAAACUCUUUGAUAGUUGAGUCGAAUCUAAUGUUCCAACUACGGGAUGCUUGCUUCAAUCCAUAAAUGGAUCGCUGGAGCUUGCAAACCUUUUGCUCACUUCCAGAAGAUAUGAAGCCUUCCGGCUGCGCCAUGUAAAUUUCUUCCUCAAUGUCUCCAUUAAGGAAGGCGGUCUUCACAUCCAUUUGCCAUAUCUUGUAGUCGUACCAUGCAGCUAUGGCCAGCAAAAUCCUAAUGGACUUUAGCAUCGCGACUGGUGAAAAGGUUUCCUCAUAGUCAACACCUUGCCUUUGAGUGUAUCCUUUUGCUACCAAUCUAGCUUUAUAGGUCGAUACCUUUCCAUCAACUCCAAUUUUCUUCUUAUAGAUCCACUUGCAGCCUAUAGGAACAAUUCCUUUGGGUGGAUCUACCAAGACAUAUGAUGAAGAAGAUGAGACAAUAAUAUCGAUAGAAAAUGUUUCUCAAUAAGUUGCCAAUCAAUUUAAAGGUAUUAUUGUUCUAAAAACUCAAUAUGAUUGAACUAAAGGUACUAUAUAUUAGCAUAUUAUUAGAACUAUUUCAUUCAUGAAGAACAUGUAAUAAUCCCACUUUUCAUAAUUGUGAUAUUUAAAGGGUAAAUUAUAUUUCACCACAUGUAUGUAUAAUGAAUUACAUCCACAAGAAUUACGUUGAAUAAUGAAAAAAAUAUUUUUUUGGGGAUUAAAAUCACUUUAUUUAUUACGUGUAUGAUUGUUCUCUAUAAUUUCGAAUUUGUCAGAAACAUAACAAUUCAUUAAAAAAAAAUUAGAUUUUCCACUAAAUUCUAACUACUUUGUAAUUUCUAUUUUUUUUUUAUUUACUCAUUUUUUGUUGUUGUUCCAUGAAAACAUCUUGAGUUUGAAACUAAUAUCGAAUUAAAAAAUAGUUUGAUUAUGGUAGUUUUUUUGUUUUAAUUGUUGUCUCUAAGAUACACCCGAUGAAAUUCAUUGAGUGUGAAUAUUUGUUUUUUUAACAGUGGAUGAGCUUUUCAAGAUCGUUGCUCGACGAAAAAUUUUACCCUCUUAUUAAUUAGUGUUGCUCAUGUUGAAGCCACCAAUGUAUCUGCUGCCGAUGAGUAUGGAUAUUUUUUUUCUUUAUCAAGUGAUUUUAGUUUUCUUUUUAUCGAGUGAUGAUUGAGAAAUGUUCAAUUAUUGCUCUCGUUUAGUAAAACAAAAAUUUUCAGUAUUCUAUGCAAGCAAGUUACACUUGGCUCAAAAAACGUGAAGGGCAAAAUAGUGGUGUGUUUAAGGGGGGAAAUGCGAGAGUGACGAAAGGGCAGGUGUGGAGCAAUGGCAAUCCCCAUGGACUGAAUGUAAUGUCAUGUCCAUAGCAAGAACAAGAGACGCUUAUUCUAAUUUUUAUUUAAGACCAAACAUCUUUAGAUGGUACAUUUUUUUACCUUUUACUAUCGAUGUAAUUUAAAUUUAAACUAUUCUAAUUUUGAAACCUCAAUUUUAUAAUUUAAAUUAAUUUAUAUUUUGCAAUAAUUUUGUUUUAGUCCCGUGCAUCGCACGAGUUACAUUGCUAGUAAUAAUCUUAUAGAUAAAAGAAAGAAACGCUAGGGCAACCUAAAAAACCCUAAUGGCAUAUUUGUAAAAACAAAUUAAUUUAUGCGUGUAUAUAUGUUUUUUUUAUCUCUUAUUUUGCCGCCAUUUUUUUUAACUACUUUAACACCAAAUCUCGGCUAGCACAAUCAUAAUCCACUACAUUUAUAAUUUUUAUUAUUAUUAUUAUUAUUAUUAUUAUUAUUAUUAUUAUUAUUAUUAUUAUUAUUAUUAUUAUUAUUAUUAUUAUUAUUAUUAUUAUUAUUAUUAUUAUUAUUAUUAUUAUUAUUAUUAUUAUUAUUAUUAUUAUUAUUAUUAUUAUUAUUAUUAUUAUUAUUAUUAUUAUUAUUAUUAUUAUUAUUAUUAUUUUUAUUUUUAUUUUUUUAUUAUUAUUAUUAUUUUUAUUAUUAUUAUUAUUAUUAUUAUUAUUAUUAUUAUUAUUAUUAUAUUUAUUAUUAUUAUUAUUAUUAUUAUUAUUAUUAUUAUUAUUAUUAUUAUUAUUAUUAUUAUUAUUAUUAUUAUUAUNNNNNNNNNNNNNNNNNNNNNNNNNNNNNNNNNNNNNNNNNNNNNNNNNNNNNNNNNNNNNNNNNNNNNNNNNNNNNNNNNNNNNNNNNNNNNNNNNNNNNNNNNNNNNNNNNNNNNNNNNNNNNNNNNNNNNNNNNNNNNNNNNNNNNNNNNNNNNNNNNNNNNNNNNNNNNNNNNNNNNNNNNNNNNNNNNNNNNNNNNNNNNNNNNNNNNNNNNNNNNNNNNNNNNNNNNNNNNNNNNNNNNNNNNNNNNNNNNNNNNNNNNNNNNNNNNNNNNNNNNNNNNNNNNNNNNNNNNNNNNNNNNNNNNNNNNNNNNNNNNNNNNNNNNNNNNNNNNNNNNNNNNNNNNNNNNNNNNNNNNNNNNNNNNNNNNNNNNNNNNNNNNNNNNNNNNNNNNNNNNNNNNNNNNNNNNNNNNNNNNNNNNNNNNNNNNNNNNNNNNNNNNNNNNNNNNNNNNNNNNNNNNNNNNNNNNNNNNNNNNNNNNNNNNNNNNNNNNNNNNNNNNNNNNNNNNNNNNNNNNNNNNNNNNNNNNNNNNNNNNNNNNNNNNNNNNNNNNNNNNNNNNNNNNNNNNNNNNNNNNNNNNNNNNNNNNNNNNNNNNNNNNNNNNNNNNNNNNNNNNNNNNNNUGUAUUAACUAAUCAUUAUUUCAUUUGAAAUGUUAUCCCGUGCAUCGCACGGGGGAAAAAUGCUAGUAAAACUAAAUGACAUAAAAUACACCUUAAUUGCGGUUUGAAAAGGGUAAAAAUUAUAUAAACUAAUUAUUUGACUUUAUCUUCCUACCUUUAAAUGCAUGAAUGUUUUUUGUUUCUUAACUUUUUAUUGAUACCUAUUCUACCCUUAUUAGUAAUCAUUAUAUAUGUAUGUAUUACUUAUAAUUAUUUAAGUAAAAAUAUUAUUUAUAUUGCAAUCAAUAUUACAUAAAAUUAAAAUAUUGGCACCUUACUUCUCUCUCUCUCUCUCUUUCUUUGUUUUUUUCUUUUUUCUUUUUUUUUAUUCUUUUAUUUAACACAUAGACAAAAUAUAAAAGGUCAAGAACUUUUUAUUUCAUUCAUUGGAGAAAUCAAAUUCGACUAGGAUCUAUGAAUCAUUAGAAAAUAUUUAUUUUUAAUUAUCCGUAAAAUAUUUUUAGUGUCUUGAUUUAGUUUCAUAAUUUACAUCUCAAACCUCUAGAAUGUUUUUAUUUAUUAUUGUUGUAACUGAUAUAAAUUUAUAGCUUUUCUUUUAUCGAAAUGUGUAAAUUAAAUAAACAUCUUUAAUAAUAAAGAAAUUACAUGAAACUUUUAUAACCCGUAAAAUGAAACUACAUUUGAUUUAAUAUGUCUUCGUAAUAUUUAUAUAUGAAAAAAAUAUGAUAAGAUCGAUGAUCCUUUCAUAAACGAUAUGUCUAGUUUGAAUAUUUAGCUUAUAUCUUAUAUGUUUGGGGUUUAUUGCAUUUAUCACCCAUGUGUUUACUCUACUUAUUAAAAAAUUCCCCAUAUUAUAAAUAUUAUCAAAAAAAAACCUCUGUAAUUCAAUUUUAUAAGCAAUCUACCCCUUAAAACAUACUAUUAAGGAGGUUGUGUGCUAAAAAAUGCAUAAAAUAGUUUUAAUUUCUAUAUUUAUAACACAUGAAGAAGUUUUUCCCAAUUUGGUAUAACAGAGGGUUACUAAAUGCAAUAUAAAGUCUUCAAUACGCUUUGUUAGCUGGCAUGACUUGCGGUUGUUGGUUGAUUAUUUAAAACUAUUAGAUCUUUUUUGCUAAGCGUGCUCCCAAGAUGAAAGUUCUUUUUCUAACUAAAUUAGAUCCUGAAAUGACAGCUCAAGUGAGCAUUAUAAGUUUUGUUCACUCUCUCUUUUAACAUAUAAUUUUUUAGUCAUAUAAUUAGCGUACUCAACAAGCGGAUAAGUCGUAAAUUUUUCAUGGAUAAUUUUUUUAUUUUCAUGUGUAAAGGUUAUUGUUUGGUAAUUCCGUGCUUAGACAAUUUUAAUUUCUUUACCUAACAUAAACCCAUUUUAAUGUUGAUAAAUAAUUUUUAAAAUAUUAAUUUUGUUACAGUAAAUAUUAUUCUGUUGGUCAAGGACCUUCCAAAAAGACAAGUCCCAUAAUUUGAACAUUGUUUGUAAAUUAAUAUAAACUAAUUAAAAAAAAUUUAGAUAAUUGACGUAUAUGAAAAGUAUCGAAGUUUAAUUACAUGGAACAUCAAUAUAGUGAUUAAACUGUUAUCCAAAUUCUUGAAAUGUGAAGUGUGAACCACAUUUGGGGGUGAAAAUCAAACGGAACAGGUCGAAAAUGGUUUUUUCGAAAAUUCCACUUCUUUUCAGAAUUCAAAAAUUCAUUCUGAUUUCUAAAUGCCUCGGAAUACCCAGAAUUUCGGAAGUUUCAGAAGUUGCAUUAAUUUAUAAUAUCUUGAUCCAAAUUCGGAUGUAAUGAGAAUUUUCACAAUGUUUUCACUCUUUUUCGGAAUUUUAUAGCGAAAUGCACAAACAUCCAAAAAAAUUCAACAAAUCGCAACAAAUAAAACCACAUGUAGAAAAAACAAUAUGCAACACAGAGUUUCUGAUAUAAGAAAAAAUGCAACAUAUAGUUCUGAUACCAAUUAUUUUUUUAUAGUUUGAAGUUUUAUUUGGCCCGUAUUCAUAUUUUUCAUAAAAAAAUAACAUACAUUAAGUUAUGAAAUUACAAAAAUAUAUCAUAAAAUUCUAUUAUAUGUUUCGAAAAACAAUCAAAAUACCCGUAACUAAAAUCAGAUCGAAAUUGAAAUUUUCGAUAAUUUUAUAUACAACUCCAAUUUCGUGCAAAAAAAAAUAGAAAUCGGAAUUGAAAAUACAGUUCUAAAUAGGGAUAGUUUCGGAUCGGAAUCAGCGGAAUUCCAAAGUCCAUUCUGAUUUCCACCUCUAACCAUAUUGCAUUUUUUACUUUUGUUUUUCCUUUUUUUUAUUUUAUGAGACAUAUGUUGUUGAUAUUUUUAUGUUCGUAUGUCUGAUGAUUUUAUAAGUUAUUAAAAUAUUUUAUUGAUAUGAUAUAUGUUUAAUGAUGUUAAUUAUACAUGUAUUAAGAUUGUCCAUACUUAGGGGUGGAAAUCGACGGAAUCGAUCGGAAAUGUUUUGUUCGGAAAAUUUAAAAAUUUAUUCGGAAGUACAAAAAUGGGUUCCAAUUUUCAUUCCAAAAAAAUACGAAUGCAAAAAUUCAUUCCAAUUUCAGAACGCCUCGGAAUCGGAAGAAUUUUAGAAAUUUCAGAAAUUACUUCAGUUUAUAAACUCUUGUUCCAAAUUCUGAUAUAAUUGAAAUUUUCACAAUAUUUUUCUAUUAUUUUUUAAAUUUUGCAGGAAAAUGCAAGAAAAUCUAAAAGAUAGUUAGAAAAACACAAUAAAUAAAAUCACACGAAGGAACAACAAAUUGAAAGAUAGAUUUUCGGAUAAAGAAAAAUGUAACAUAAAGUUUCUGAUGCCAAUUAAUUUUUUCUAAGGUUCCCAUUUUUUUGGAUCGAAAUUGGCGGAAUUCGGGAAUUCCAUUAUGAUUUUCCCCUACCCAUAAUAGCAUAUCAUCAAAUCAAGUUAAUUAACUGAUGAAUCUUUAAUGUAUAAAUUAAAUACUAAAAUAAUUAGCAUGGAUCACCCAAUUAAUUUACUAAACUUAAUAUUAUCCUUUUAUCUAUUCUUUUAAUUUAUAAUCAAAUUUAUUUUUUAUUUGAAACAUAUAGUAAUGUGCAUUUUGGUAGAAUGUUAUACAUAAUAUACAAAAUAAUAAAUUUUGAGUUAAUUAAGGAUAAUUUAAUAAUAUAUUAAACUGGAUUAUUUUAUAUUAAAUUAAUCAUAUAUAAUUUAAUUAUUUAUAAAGCAAUUAAUAAUGUGCAAUUUUAAUCAAUUAAAUCUUAAAUGUGUAAAGGGUGGUGAUAAAUGCAGGAUGUCUUUUAGUAAAUGUAGGACAUUUUAUUUAAAAAAUCAAAAGCUAAUAUAUAUCUCAUCUUAUUUUGUUAAAUCCCUUUCUUUUAUAAGUUUUUAACGACAUUAUUUUGGCAGAAUAUCACAUGAAGAGUUUUAGUAAACGUAGACACUUUAUUUAAAAAUUCGAAACCUAAUAUAUCUCAUCUUAUUCUUUCAAACUAUUUUUUAUAAGUAUCCAUCGACAUUAUUUUGGAAGAAUAUCAUACAAUUAAUCACCAUUAAUCACAAGAACGUGAAUUUAUUGGUUUUGGAGGAUGAUACGGCUGAAAGUGAGGUAAAAAAAUCAUUUCGGUGCGAAAAAAAAUUCUUGUUUUAUGUGCCACAGUUCUUUUUUUUUUUCUUUUCUGUUUUAUGUGCCAGAUUUUAUAAUAUAUAUUAAUUUUGUUGCUAAUUUGGACCAGGAUCAUCUCGAGACGUUUAAAAAUGUCGAUUAUAGAGAAUAUUUUCCAUAAGACAAAAUAUUUUGUAGUAUAAACGAUUUUAAAAAGUUUCUUUAGAUGUGUUUGAGAUUGAAAAUUGUAGAGAAUAAAUAUAGUUCUGUAGAUAGUUAAUGAUAAAUAUUCGAUGAGAAUUAAUUUUUAUAUUAAAAUGUCUGUAGCUACUAAAAUAGGAAUAAAAAAAUAUCCUACAUUUACUAAAAGUCGUCAUGUAUUCAUCAUUUCCGUGGUGUAAAUCAUUAACUAAAAUAUUGGUAAUCAUAUUAGAAAUCAUUUACUAACUAGUAUCAAAUAAAACUACCAACUAAUAAGUUUUACUAAAAAAAACAUAGAAAAAGCUUGUAACAAUCUGAUCACUGUGUAAGUAAGUGAGGUGCUGCAACAAAUUAACAAACCUUAAAAAUAAAACCAACAACAAGAAAAAAUUAUGUCGAAGACCUCUCUGAUUUAGCUGUGGCUCACAAAUUUGUGGUUGUCGUUUAAUAUUGUAAGUUGACAGAAAAAUUAUCUUUAAAACAAAAAUAAAAUAAAAUAGUGAAAAGGGUCAUCAUCUUCCUAUGAAGGGCUGUGUUGGGUUUUGCAGUAUUAUUAACCUCAAAAACAAUUGUCGCCUCAAAUGAGAUAAGGUUACUGCCACGCGUCACUCUCUAAUAGAUUCAAGCGAUAAGGAAGCAAUCCAUCUAUUAUGUGGUCAUAAAAUCGAAAUGUAGAGGCAGGUCAGAUCCAACGGCCCACAUGAAUUAAAAAAAAACAAGUUUAAAUUAGGAGCGUUGGAUGAAAUGUGGAAAGAAGAAACAGGGUAGGGGGUGGGUUUGGCAUUAUAAAGGGUGAGGUGCAACAAAUCAUUUCUCCAUCGACUGUUGUUUGUGUAUUCUAAAGCAAAGAAAAAGCAAACUAAAGAGAGGAGAAAUGGCAGCCUCAAUGGUAUCAACCACAGCCACCGCCGCCGUGAGCCGCGCCACCGCAGCUCAAGCGAGCAUGGUUGCUCCUUUCACCGGAUUGAAGUCCACCUCCGCAUUCCCCGCUACCCGCAAGACUGCUGACAUCACCACCAUUGCCACCAACGGUGGAAGAGUGUCCUGCAUGAAGGUACCACAUUUUAUUCAUUUCAAUUGAAUUAUUUAUAAUCUAUAGUUAACUAAUUAAUUAAAUGGAUAUAUGUUUGAAAUUGAAUGAUUAGGUGUGGCCAACAGUGAACAACAAGAAGUACGAGACACUGUCAUACCUACCUCCUCUAACCAGAGAGCAACUCAUCAAGGAAGUUGAUUACCUUCUCCGCAACAAGCUCAUUCCUUGCAUCGAGUUCGAGUUGGAGGUAUUAUUUCUCAAUCUAUAUAUAUAUAUAUAUAUAUAUAUAUAUAUAUAUAUAUAUAUAUAUAUAUAUAUAUAUGUUUUCUUAAUUUUAAAAUUAAAAAUGAAUAAAUAAAAAUGAAAAAUAUAAAAAAAAAUGUAUGUAUAUGCAGCACGGAUUUGUGUUCCGUCAGUACAACAGCUCCCCAGGAUACUACGACGGUCGAUACUGGACAAUGUGGAAGUUGCCUAUGUUCGGGUGCACAGACGCAGUACAGGUAGUGAACGAGCUUGACGAGGCAAUCAAAGCAUACCCAGAGGGCUUCAUUAGAAUCAUUGGAUUCAACAAUCUCAAGCAAGUCCAGGAUAUCAGUUUCAUUGCCUACAAGCCUGCUGGCUACUAAUAAUUUCUAUUGUGUUUUCCUUUAAUUAGGAUUCCUUUUUUUUUUUGUAUUAUUACUUUCAUUUCCUUUUUCCUGCUUUUCCUAAUCUCUCUAUCUCUUUCGGAUCGAAAAGAUAAAUGAGUGUACGAGGAUAAGUAUUUACUACUCAAUAAACUAUAAUGCAUUUUCUUCCUUUUUAAUAAUUACUAUACUGUCAUCUCUUGAUCGCCUAAGUUAAGCGGGUAAGCCUCGGGAAAAUAUCUUAUUUAAUUUAUUAUUUAUCAGUGAAUAAAUUAUUUGGUUAUAGAUUAUCUUAAUGUAGGAGAAUUCAUGUAAUGAUUAAUGAAUAACUGGAGCUCAAAUGUAAUAGUUGAGAAUAUGGACGCGAGUGCAAUAGUUAGUUGGUAAUAGAAAUUAAUUAAUUAUUUACCGUCAAAUUAAAUAUAAUUAUAUUAUUUUUAGAAUUUGAGUUUAAUUUACUUAUUAGAAGUGCGAUGCAUAUUUUCUCAUUUGGUAUUUAUCGUAGCCCAAUCAAUUAUGUAACUUAUUGAGAAAAUAAAAUUCAACUAAUGGAAUAUAGGAGAAAGAGACUUAUUUCAGAGAAGGAAAAAAUGGCCGUAGUGUCUUGUGGAAGAAAUAACUUAUUUUCUUAGUUAUUUCCUUGUAAAACUCUUUGAUCAGCCCUAUAUAUACAAAACUUGGUUGGAGAGAGAAAGUUGAGAUCCUAACUCGCCUAGCAAAAAUCUUUUACACAUGUUUUUUAAGAAGAUAAUUUUUCUCCUUUUAUUUUCGCUCCCUAUUUCUCAAUUAUAGAUUUAUAAUUCUUCAAGGACAAGUCCACCCUUGUAGAAGAACUGUUAAUCCGAGAUAGACAAUUGAAGAUUGAAGAUUUUGAUAGAAGAUGAAUAUUCUUGAAUGCUCUACAACAACCUUGAUGUUUUGACAAUUGCUACUUUAUCAACCGUUCAAUCGUCACAAAAUUUGAACUUGAGGUUCCUAACAUGUAGCAAUUCGAUCCGAACCAAACGGAUAGUCAAUCCAAUUUUGGGAUAUCAAGUUAUAGGCGUCUAAAGUGUGUUGUAUUGUUCUAGACGGGAGCAAUUUGUGAGAAGCUUUGUUCGUGUUUCCUGCAAUUACUGAAUUCAAGAUGGUAUUUUUGGGUCGUUUCCGAAUAUAUUUUUAAGUUCUAGAUUAGUUUUUAUUUCGCAUUUAUUAAUCUAUAAUUUAUUACGCAAAACAUGCUAGGGAAAAAUUUAUACCCGAAAAACAAAGGUUCGUCAUUCGAAUUAAUUAUCAAUGAUGCGCUCUUGGAAUUUAUAUAUAUAUAUAUAUAUAUAUAUAUAUAUAUAUGAGUCAGCGUUGCAUUGAUCGAUUAGUGCUUCUACCGAUCGGUGUGUGGUGUAAAAUAAGGGUUUCACAUGUAGUCGCACUAAUCGAUUGUCGAUCUCCUGCUUGGUAUAUUUUGACCACUUCCUGCUUUCUUCAAGUAUCGCUCCGUUGCCCAUAUCCUUCCUCAUUUAGCCCUCAACGCCGUUUUAGCCAUUGUAUUGCCACACAAAUAUUUAAUAUAUGCAAAAUGCAUCAAUCUAACUCCUAAAUACAAUAAUAGCUAACAUGCAGCUAAACGACAUAUAAAUGAUUGUACUAAUGCUCGAUUCUUACCUUAAAUAGAUGUGAAUAAGUAUACAUUUUACACAUUUAACCCUUUAGUAUUUGGUGGUCAUCAUGGCUUCAGUUUUCAGGAGACGGUUGUGGAUACAGUCUUAAAAUUCGGACGGGGUGUGUCCGGGGUGGGUUUACUUAUUUUUGUUUUUGGUCUUAUAGUUAGGAAAUUAGAGGAUUUUGUGUAUAUUGAAUUAUACAAUUUUUGGUGUUGGAACUUAAUAUAGUAGCUACCCAGAUGUUAAUACGAUCAAUUCCACAUUUUAGAGAUGUUGAUCCAUUUCGAGAAAUAUAUUUCACUAAAUAACUAAUCCCUCCACUAAACGCAUUGGGCUCACUUACUCAAUAUAGAAAUAUAUCUCUUUGUUAUGAGAUCAAAGUGGAUUAGACUAGUUACAUGUGUACCUUUUUAUAUUUAGGGAUUAAGAGAGUAAGUGUUUUGGUGAUAAUAAGAAAUAAUAUAGUUUUAUAUUAUCAGUAGUGAAAUAAUUAUUUCACUUUGUCUGGUCCAAUACAUGCCGAAUGUGCUAGCACAAUAAGUCAAAAUAAUAACUAUAAAAAAUAUUCUAUAUCUAUCGUAAUCAAGACAGAUCACUUAAAUAUAUUAUUAAAUACAUUGUGCUACAAUCUUUCUCGAUGGUUAGUUCAAUUCCAUUUAGAUUGUGAAUAAUUUAAUUUAUAUUAUAAAACGAACUUUCAAAAUGAUCUUAUGUGUUAUAUCAAAAUCAGCACACCAAUUCGAAUAUGAUUAGAAUAUUAGACUCGUGUAAUUGUUUAAAUAUUAGUUAAAUGCAUUGAAUGCCAUAAUGCAUAUUCUCAUAAAAUGAUAUUAUACUAUUUCAUUAAAUUAAUACUAAAAUUAUGUAGAUAAAUGUGAGAGACUUUUAGUCUACUGUCCCAACAAAUAUACACUCGAGUUAGGACUUUAUUUCGGCGGAGACACUUUUGACACACAACAACCAACCUUGAGAGCGGUUAUAAACCCUAAAAAUGAAAAGAGCGAGGAACACUCAUCUAGAGCUUAGUGUGAAACGAAUAGGAACAGGCAACACAGAAUUUAAUCGUUGGCGGAAUGAAGACAACAUGACAAGGAGAAUGUUCGCCUUCUGUUAUUCAUAGAGUUUAUAUUUCUCUUCUUUUAAUUUAUUGAUUAUUGCAUCCAACAAAUAUUGUUUAUUGAUUUUGAUGGAACUAUACGUAGGUAGAUUUCAUUAUAGGAUUUAAUCGAAUCCCGUAGUGGAUAUUUUGUACUAUGUUUUAUUUUUAUGCAUGUGAUUUAAUUUUCAGUUUAAUUCUCGUGCUUGGAAUGUUUGAAUGCGUGGACUUGAUAACAUCACUGUCGCCAUUAGACACCAGGCCAUUAUUGAGAAUAUAUCACGCUCUUAAUUAUGUAAAUCAUCCUUCUGAAUUAGUUUUUUCUUUUAUAAACAAUACCUUAGAUCACGGUUCAUACUGUAUAUUUUAUGUUGAUCGACCGUGAUUGUAAUUACUUGAUUGAUUCUCAUUGAAUCAAUCCUCCUAUAUAUAUAUAUAUAUAUACUCACAUAUACAUCAAUGAAAAGUGAAAACUCCUAACUUGGGAUAUCCUUUUAUGGUAUCACAACCAUUAGCCUCACGACAUCUCUGAUCCAUAAUUAUCAUUUGUUUUUCUCCAUUUCUUCACUUAUAAUGUCGGACGAUCCCUCGAUCUCUCCCAACCAAACCACCGCCACCACGACUGUGAUGCGAUCUCUUGAGUAUCAUAAGAUUUCUUUACUAAACGUAAGAAAACUCUUGUUUAUUAUUUCUCUGCAUUAUCAAAACCCUAGCACAAUACGGCUAUUUAAAGAGAAUCAAAACCCUAGAAUCCUAAUCUAACUAGGAAAGAUAAUUACCUAUACUAAUAAAAUACUUAAUAAUUCCCUAAUCACUACUACUCACGCCAUAUAUUAAUCUAAAUAUACUAAUCUAAUCUAAUUAUCAAUAAACUACUAAUUAAAAUAAUACUUAAAUAAUAUAUUAAAUAAUAAAAUACUAACUAACGAAUAAAUAUACGAUAUAUUAAAUAUAUAUCGUAUCAAACCACCCCUCUUGAAAUGAACCUUGUCCUCAAGGUUCGAGUCAAUUUGGUCCCUCUUUUUUGCGUUUCCACCUAUGUUUGACUUCAGCGACUUUCUUUCCGAGAAAGAUGUAUUCCUUUGUUUGACCAAUUUUCACAAGCACGUGACUAUCUUUCUUGAUUUUAUGAGUGAAGUCAUCUCUCUCGGUGGAAUCAUGAACUUGGUCUCCAAAGUGAUCCACUUUAGCCAAACAAAAACUAGAUAACUUGGAGUGGUAUUUUUCUUCACAAUAAACAACUAAUUCCACCGAAUUCUCAUUAUGCAAAAUUGGAUCUUCCUUAAAAUUAUGAAAUUCUUUCAAAAUUUCAUGCAAUUUUUUGUUCUCCUCCUUCGUUAAUUUCUUGUCUUCGUCCCACUUUAUCUCAGUUGACUCCGAUUCUUCUUCUUUCGGCUCUUCGUCCCACUUUAUCUCAGUGGAUUCCGAUAAUUCUUCUUUCGGCUCGUCGUCCCACUUUAUCUCAGUUGAAUCCGAUUCUUCUUCUUUCGGCGAACUCACAAACAAUUGGGGUUCUUCGAAAAAUUCAUCGUCGUCCUCUUCCUCUUCCUCCGGCGAUAGGCUCGGCAGCGGCAGCGGCGGUAGUGGUGUUGUUGGUCGGCGGUGGCGGUCUCUUCGGCUCUUAUGUUGGCGCCGUCCUUGACUUUGUUCGAGCAGUUUUUGGAGACCAAUCCGUAUCUCCUCCACGGAUUUUUCCAAUCGCUCUAAACGUUUUCUCUCGGACGACAUAAUUUCGCAAAGUGUUGAUGUAAUCUCAACUUUGCUCCAGCGUAGCUUUGAUAUAAUCUCUGCCUUGCUAACGAAGCGUUGGUGUUAAUCGCAACUUCGCUCUGAUACCAAUUGAUGCGAUCUCUUGAGUAUCAUAAGAUUUCUUUACUAAACGUAAGAAAACUCUUGUUUAUUAUUUCUCUGCAUUAUCAAAACCCUAGCACAAUACGGCUAUUUAAAGAGAAUCAAAACCCUAGAAUCCUAAUCUAACUAGGAAAGAUAAUUACCUAUACUAAUAAAAUACUUAAUAAUUCCCUAAUCACUACUACUCACGCCAUAUAUUAAUCUAAAUAUACUAAUCUAAUCUAAUUAUCAAUAAACUACUAAUUAAAAUAAUACUUAAAUAAUAUAUUAAAUAAUAAAAUACUAACUAACGAAUAAAUAUACGAUAUAUUAAAUAUAUAUGGUUAAUUAAAAUUUGUUUUGAAUAAAGAAAAGAAAAAUAAAAUUAAUUUAGCUAGAACCAAAAUCCCAUUUUCAUUCUACUACUUUUGCCCUCGAUUUUGUCUCAAAUUUCUUAGUAGCUCGAUUAAAAUUUGUAGAAAAGGUCUGCUCGAGAGUCAUUCAACAUCUACGGAGGACAUUGAAAUUUAGUGGCCGAAGACAAUAGAGAAUUGAAAAUUGUACAGUAAGCCCUCGUAUGAUAACUAGCAUUAUCAAAAAAGUUGUACAGUAAGCCUAACUCGUAUGAUAAUGAAGAACACCUGAAACAUUAUUGAACUAAUGUAUCUUUACCAAAAUCAAAUUUUUUUGACAGAAAGUAAAAUAAACUCAUGUGAGAUAUUGACAACUAUUUUGAAGAAAAUAAGAAACAACAGUUGUAACAAUAAAUUUAAAAUUAUGCAAUGAAUAAAAAACGAACUUCUUCAUGCAACCAUGAUGCAAAUAGAGUAUUCAUUUGAAUCAAAAUCCGUCAAAAUGUCAACUAAAUCUUGUACUGACGUAAAUAUUUUUAUUUUGUAGUAUUGCUCUUAAAGCCAUUACGAAGGGAUAUGAAUGUGACUAAUGCAGCAUCCCGGCGAUCGAUGAUAAAUGAAUAUUGUCAUUUUGACACGAUAAGUUCCUGACAACACAUACUGUUCAAAUCAAUCAAUAAAUAAAUAAAAUAAUGUUGAAAAAUCAAAAGUAAGCAUAUUUCUCUAGUACUUUGGUGAUUUGAAUGCAACUUCUCAUCUUGCCACAUUCUUAAACAAAGUUUUGCCAUCUUUGUGUGUGCGUUUUUUCCCCACACGUGGGGGAGAUGGAGAUGCCAGCGGUUUAUCUAGUUGGAUUGUGCAGAGUUAGUUUUUGCUGAGGAAAACAAGCCAAGAGGGGGAAAAUGAGGAAAAAAAAAAAAAAAAAAAAAAAGGAAAAAUAGUCAUAAAAAAAGCAUAGAAAGCUAAAAAUAAUCAUAAUUCGUAUAAAUGAAUGUGCUAAAAACACUAAUUAAGGAAUGCAAAACAACCCAAGGGAAAAUGGACCCUCAAAGUCAUCCACCACAUUGAAAUUGAAAUAAAUCGACCAGGAAAAAACUUAUAUAUCGUACAUUUCUUAAAUAAAACAGUAAACUAGCUCGAAAAUGUCGACAUGAGGGGGAUGAGAGAACGAAGAAUAAAAGGAGAAUAUAUUGGCGAUGGAUGGAGUAGUUUCUUCCAUCUAAAAUGAUCGUGAUGUUAUCGUGUGAACUAAGAAGUUGUGUAUUAGUUAAUAUACCAUAGUAAAAACUAAAAAGCCGCCCGGGAAAAGCAAAGAGCUACGAAAUUACUGAGAAACACCUAGGGCUACGAAAAUUGUUCAGAAAAGAAAAAUUAGAAAUAACCGACUUGAGUAGUGGGGUCAGAUAUGAGAAUAUUCUUGUAGUGGGAGGUAAUAUUAAAAAUAAAACUGAAAAUAUGAAAUGAAAAUAUUGCCCCUAGGGCUACAUCUAGGGUUAUAGGUCAAAAUAUCCUCCUUUUAUAAACAAACAUUGUCUUAUUAUCAUUUUAAUUUCUUUUAAGGGUAAAUUACAACCACCCCUGGAUGUGUGGUCAAAUUACGAAAAUCCCCUCCCCUUUGGGUAAUUACAACCUCCUCAAUUAUAAAUCUUCUUACACGUCCACCCUUGCGGUGUCAAAUUUAGUGGAAUCUUUUAGAUUAUACAAAAUAUUCUCAAUUUUGUACCCAUUUUAUUCCAUUCGAACUCCACAUUUUGAAGCAAGAUGAUCAUAAGAUGUGCUUUUUGGCUUGUAAAUAUUAGAUUAUGGUGCAUCACAGAUUGCAUUUUUGUACAAAUGAGUACAAACUAGAGAACAUUCCACGAAAUCUUGAAGAUUAUGUUGAACUUGACACCAUAAGGGUGGACGUGUAAGAACAUUUAUAGUUGAGGGGUAGUUGUAAUAAUCCAAACAUGAGAGGUUUUUCGUAAUUUAAUCAUUCCACGAAAUCUAGAAGACUAUGUUGAAUUUGACACCAAACAUGAGGGAUUUUUCAUUUUUGGACGUGUAAGAACAUUUAUAGUUGAGGGGUAGUUGUAAUAAUCCAAACAUGAGGGAUUUUUCAUAAUUUGACCAUAGUGAGAAGUUGUAAUUUACCCUUGUUUAUAAUUACUAUGGAGGGAUAAUUGUGUGCAAACUGCAAUGUUUUGACCAAAUACUUGUAUUUAAAUGAAUUAAAUUAUUGAGCAAGAUACUUGAUUAUAAUGAGUAAAAAUGCAUAAAAAAGUAUGAACGUAUAGAGACUAUAUAGAUCCCCUAAGUUGAAGGAAAAUGGACAGGCUAUUGACCUCUCAUAGAACCCCAACGGCAUACGGAAGAUCAGCCAUCCAUCCAUCAAAAUGUUAAAAAACACACACACACACACACACAUACUUCAACACUGGAUAUGGAUUCCAGAUUCGCUGGAAAAAGGAAAAAAAAGGAAAAUGUCAAAACAAAGCUUUUAUUUUUUAAUAUCCCCAUGUUGAAUACAAGAACGUGCGUAGGUUUACGCCUUUUCAAUUUCUUGCAACGUCACGUUGUGUUGUGUUGUGUUGACACUUUCCAAAUAAUUUAAUUCCUAAAAAUUAAAUUGAUUGACAAAGUCUUUGCGUUUCCUUCUCUGUUAAUCUACUGUUAACUUGUUUAUCUGGGUUGUCCUUCAUUUUUCGAAAUUGCAUGAAAUUGAAACUUCGCCUCUUUUUUUUGUUGAGUGUGAUUGUUGUGCAUGGGCGAUUCCGUUUUCCCCAAUUUAUUACAUUUGCUUUCAUUUUAUUUUGAGGUUGUCACAAUUUCUUGCAGGCUACACGGAAUUUUGUUAUGUUGAUUAAGCACUAAUUCUUUCUUUAACUGCAGAUUCCUUUUGCUGAACAACUGAACAAGGAUUGAUUUGUUUCUAUACACAUUUCAAUUCACUUAAUGAUUGAAUAUCAGGUUUGUGAAUAUUUCAUAUAAUUAUUUUUAUUUUAUUUUUUUGUGAUUUAUUUAUUUGUUGAUCUGGUUUUCUAGACAGGGGGAAAAAAAAAAGAAAAACAAAUUGAUAUUGUAAAACCGGGGGCAAGAAUUUCUAUUACGGAAUGGUGAAAUUUGUAUUUGGUCUGUGAAUUAGUUAUAUUUUAUUUAAUUUAUCCUACAAAUGGAACAGAACAUAAUUAGAGAAAAUUUCCCUAAUGUAGCUAAUUCAAAUGGCUUAACAUGGUUUUUUAAGGAUUUGAAAUAUGCUACAAGAGUAUCUGUUUUUUAUUCGGAUCGUACCACUUUCCGUCACAAUUAAUUAAUCUUUUUAGUUCAAAUCAGAGUAUCUGUUAUUCCUAAUAUGUCUCCGAUACGCAAUUCAGCAUAGAGAAUCGGGGAAGAUUGGGCCAUUUUUUAUUUCUUCCAUUGUUUUAAAAAUUGAGAUUGUUAUCGUACGGACAGGUUUUCUCCUUUUCCAAUCGAGCCCUGCCGUUGUAAUGUUAUAGUAACAUGUCAUCGAGUUGAAUAAAUGCUACCGUUGUCAUAUUUAUUUAUUAUAUAUUUGGAUGUUUAAACUGAUAUUAAUAAUAAUAAGAUGAACGCUGCAGCAUUUCAGUGUGGACUAUCAGAAUAUAGUGACGUCAUGGAUCCACAAGUAAAAGAUUAUUAUAGAUUUCGCAGCUCAAGUGUUUCGUCUACCAACAGUGAUGUGUUUGAACCCACUUCAAGUAACAAUGGUACAAAUAUUAUUUUACUCUUGCGAUCAUUUACCUAAUCUGAAUAUAUUCACUUCGAGUUUUUUGUUUUGUGUGUACAGCUAAGCAGCGAGCAUCUGCAGUAGAAUGGUUAAAUGGUAUUCUGCCUGAUUUAAGUUUGCCAAUAAAUGCUUCAGACGAAGAAUUACGAGCAUUCUUGGUUGAUGGAUCUGUUUUAUGUCGAUUACUAAACAAACUAAAACCUGCUUCCGUGCCUGAGGUACCUCCUAGUUUAUUAUUAUUAUUUUUAAUUAUUAUUAUUAUUAAUUUUAAUUAUUAUUUAUAAAUGUUAGUGUGGUGGUGGUUCUAUUCGUUCUUCACAAACGCGGCAAGAAAACGUACAGAGGUUUUUGUUAGCAAUGGAUGAAAUGGGGUUACCGAGGUUUCAGGCGGCAGAGUUGGAAAAGGUGAUUGAUUACACUUUAAUGGAAUGGAGAUGAUAAAUAUUUUUUUUUUCUCGUGGUGAAAUUAAUUAAUUGAUUGAUUUAGUCGCAAUUUUGUUGUAGGGAUCGAUGAAAAUAGUGUUGGACUGCCUAUUAACAUUACAGACGCAAUUUACACUGAAUGCCGAGAGACAUAAUAGUAAUGGAACUGAUUUGAGUUCAAGACGGUUUCUCUCUUCCCCACCUUUUGGAGAAGACAGACGAAAGUUUGCUCCAGAGUCUAAAUUUCAGCGUGCUUUACGUAGUCCUAUUAAGACAGGUCUUUUUUUUUUUUCUCUUGUCUCCAAAUCAGUGUGUAAGAAGUUAUAUAUAUAUAUAACUAAAUUGAUUGUUUAAAUUGGAAUGUUGUAGAGCCAUCAGCUGCGCUUAUAAAUCACGUUGGUCAUAAGUUUCAUGAAGUCUUUCAGUUUAAACAAGUAUCUUAUACGGAUGCAAAUAUUUCAGAAAUGAUGAAAUCCAACAGCUUUGAUGUAAGUGAUUUCCUAAAUUAUUUAAUUUUUUUUUCCCGCCAAGUGUUCCUAAAAUUGACUUUAAAAGUUUUGUAUGUAUAAAUAUGUAUAUGUGAUGCAGAAUUCUCCAACGCAGUCGCUAUUAAGUGUGAUCAAUGGUAUUUUAGAUGAAAGCAUUGAGCAGAAGAAUGGAGAAAUACCUCAUGUAUGUAUUAAGAGAUUAAAAAGAUUUUUUUUUUAUUAGAAUCCAAAAACUUUUAAAGGUCUAACAAACAGAUUAUUGGCUUUGUAAUUGUUCAGCGUGUAGCUUGCCUAUUGAGAAAAGUUGUGCAGGAGAUUGAACGUCGAAUAUGUACUCAAGCAGAGCAUCUUCGAACGGUAAUGUAUUUUAUCAUGUGGGGUCCGGUUGUUUAAUGAUUAUUAUAUUCAUUAGCCCGAAACAUGCGCUCAUUCUUCUUCUUCUUUUUUUUUUUUAAUUUAUCCUGCAGCAAAAUAAUAUUUUUAAAGCUCGGGAGGAGAAGUACCAAUCUAGAAUUAGAGUUCUUGAAGCCCUUGCAACAGGGACUAGUGACGAGACACAGGUAUAAUAGUAAGGCUUCGUAUUUCGCCAUAAUGUAUGUAUUCAAAUUUAUGUAAGUACAUGUUUAUAUAAAUUGCAUAACCAAUUCGCCAAAAUUGAUUUUUUUUGUUUUUUUGGCAGAUUGUUAUGAACCAGCUCCAACAGAUCAAGGUAAUUCAAUUUCUUCACUGUAUGACUGUUAUCUUCAAGUUCAUAUGAUUUAGCUGCUUAUAGACGACGAGCAUCAAAUUAAGGAAGGAAAAAAUUGUUGAAUGUAAUCAAGAUUCGUAAUUCGUGUGCAAAAACAUUACCUGUUAUUACAAUAAGAAUUGAAUACAAGCAUGUAAUUCUGGUGAUAGUGAAUUUUAUUUACAUGUAGUUUUGGGUUUUGCAUGCUUAAAUAUUGUAUUCAUCUGCUCCAAAAAAUGCAGAAUGAGAAAAACAAAAUAGAAGAGAAAAAGAAAGCGGAGGAACAAGAAAUGGCAAGACUGAUGAAAGAGAAAGACGACCUUAAUCAAGAGAUAUCAAAUCUUAAGCAACAGCUCCAAGAUAUAGCUAAGACAUCCCAAGCUGAAUCUCAAGCUCAAGCUCAAGCUCAAGCUCAAGCUCAACAACUACAGCUCAACGAUACAUCUAAAGAGUCUCAAAGUUUACUAACCGAGGAGUCAACAAAUAGAGUUAAGGAACUUGAGGAUAGGUUAAAACUAACUCUAAGCUUACAAACAGAGUCCACAAAUAAAGUGAAGGAGCUCGAAGAUAGGUUAAAAGAGUCUGUCAUCUUGCAAACCGAGUCGGCAAAUAAAGUUAAGGAGCUUGAAGACAGGUUGAAAGAGGCUGAAAUCUUGCAAGCAGAGUCAACAAAUAAAGUGAAGGAGCUUAAAGAGAGGUUAAAAGAGAGGGCAAGCUUAGAAACAGAGUCGACAAAUCAAGUGAGGGAGCUUGAAGAUAAGUUAAACGAGACUGCAAGUUUGCUAACACAGUCAAGAAAUAGAGUUAUGGAGGUUGAGGCAUCCCUUGAAUCCAAAUCUGAAUGGUGGAAGAAGAAAGAAAAUAUCUACCAUAUAUUCACCGAAUUUCAGCUCGGUGCACUACGUGUAAUGCUUCUCUCUCUCUCUACCAUCUUACCUUUAUGUAUCACUUUUUUCUUGGAUUAAGUAAUUUCAUUCUUAUUUUCAUGUAUUUCAUUUCAGGAACUAAAAUUUUCAUCUCAGUCGAUACACCAAGAAAUUUUGAAAACGAAGAAAAGCUAUUCAGAAGAAUUCACUACUUUAGGUAAUUCUAUUUUCUUUUUUUUAAUCGGAUGAAAUAUAUAUUUAUACAUUGCGACUCACACUAAUCGUCGUAACAGGGUCAAGGAUCAAGACUCUAGACGAUGCAGCAAAGAACUAUUAUUCAGUCCUUGCUGAAAAUCGAAAGCUGCACAAUGAACUACAAGAGCUAAAAGGUGACACAUUAUUGUUGACAUAGUUGAACAUAAAAAAGAACACACACGCACACACACUAAAUUGGUGUAUUUCCUCACGUGUUGAUUUGAAUAGGAAAUAUUAGGGUGUAUUGCCGGAUAAGGCCAUUUCUCCCGGGGCAGAAAGGGAAAAGUUCGAUUAUUGAGUACGUUGGAGACAAUGGUGAGCUAAUAGUUUCGAAUCCAUCAAAACAAGGCAAAGAAGGACGCCGCUCCUUCAAAUUCGAUAAAGUGUACAGCCCAGCAGCAACACAAGGUUUAUUUUAUUUUAUAUCUUCAUUAAUAAAAAGACGGUACUAAUUAGUUUAUCUCUAUGUAUGUUAUUUCUUAUUGACAUAAAUUUCGUAUUAUCUGCAGCUGAAGUAUUUUCAGACACACAACCGUUAGUACAAUCUGUUUUGGAUGGAUACAACGUAUGUAUAUUUGCGUAUGGUCAGACUGGUUCAGGGAAGACCUACACCAUGGUAUGAAACUAACUAUAAAUAGGUUUAUAAUUUCAACUUAUAAUUAUUUAUUUUUUGUUAAGUGAAUGAAUUCUUUGUCUCUCCAGACUGGACCUGAUGGAGCAACGGAAGAAGAAUGGGGGGUUAAUUAUCGGGCUUUAAACAAUCUUUUCCGUAUUUCACAGAGUAGGGAGAGCAACUUUACAUAUGAAAUUUCCGUCCAGAUAGUGGAAAUAUAUAACGAACAAGUCCGUGAUUUGCUCGUAAAAAACGACGGUUCAGCAAAAAGAUAUCCUCUAUUUAAAAUUAUUAUGUUUCCAAUCUCAUAUUUUUUGACACUAAAUUUUGAUCCAUUAUUGGUUAUUACAUACAUGUUGCAUCAAAAAUACUUGUUAUCCUUGACUUGCACACACUCGGGAUUUUGUCAACGUCGCAACCCAAUGGUUUGGCAGUGCCAGAUGCUAGCAUUCAUGUGGUAAAAUCAACCUCAGCUGUUUUGGAACUUAUGGAUAUUGGACUGAAUAAUAGAGCCAAAAGUUCGACUGCCAUGAAUGAAAGAAGUAGUAGAUCACACAGGUAUUUCUAUAAUUAUUGUUUUUCAAGAUUCUUGUAUUAUUAUGCAAUCGAUGCAUAUAUAUAUAUAUAUAUAUAUAUAUAUAUAUAUAUAUAUAUAUAUAUAUAUAUAUAUAUAUAUAUAUAUAUAUAUAUAUAUAUAUAUAUAUAUAUAUAUAUAUAUAUAUAUAUAUAUAUAUAUAUAUAUAUAUAUAUAUAUAUAUAUAUAUAUAUAUAUAUAUAUAUAUAUAUAUAUAUAAUUAGUGGGGUAUGAAUAAAUACAGUAUUGUGUCAAUUCAUGCGCGGGGGCUGGAUCUAAAGAGUGGUUCUUCUCUACGAGGCAGUCUUCAUUUAGUAGAUCUUGCUGGAAGUGAAAGAAUUGACCGCUCGGAAGUAACUGGAGACAGACUUAAAGAGGCACAGCAUAUAAACAAAUCAUUAUCCGCACUUGGUGAUGUCAUCUUUGCUUUGGCACAAAAGAAUUCUCACGUUCCUUAUCGCAACAGCAAGCUCACUCAAGUCCUACAGGGCUCCUUAGGUAUGUAUAAUAGCUUUUUUUUUUUUUAAUAAUUCUUCUGAUAUAAGUUAGUUAAUUGAAUAUCGAAUAUUGGUAUUGCAAUGAGUAAUUGAAAAAAAGUGGUUAAUGAUCAGGUGGUCAGGCAAAGACACUUAUGUUUGUGCAGCUGAAUCCAGAUGCAACUUCGUUUAGUGAAACCUUAAGUACAUUGAAGUUUGCUGAAAGGGUAUCUGGUGUUGAGCUCGGCGCAGCUAAAAGCUCCAAAGAUGGCAAAGAUGUUCGUGAGUUGAUGGAACAGGUAACACAACAUUAUUACGAUUAUUAUUUUUCUGCUAUCUAACUUGCGAAUAAUAAUUUAACCAAAUUUAUGUUUCAUUUGACAUGUCCCUGAACUUUGUUAAGUGUAUCCAUUUAUUUGCUCACAAGUCUCUAUAUUAUCAUAAUUAUUUAUUAUACAAUAGACAAUAUAUAUGAUAUGAUACAUUUUUUGGGUAAUAAAUAGGUUUCAUCUCUAAGAGACACCAUAGCAAAGAAAGAUGAGGAGAUAGAGACACUGCAGCUUCUUAAAGAUCCCAAAAAUGGAACCAAUGCUGAGAAACGGGCUACCACCUCAUUGAGGUACGUAUCAUCUUCUACGGGUACUUGUUAACAAUUUCACAAAAAUAUAUAAUCACGAUUCUCAACAUCAGAAAAUAUCCAUAUUAAUUAUUUUUUUUUUGCGGUUGAAGCUGAGAUCUUAUGACUUAGGUGGUUGUGCAGAUAGAUAGUGCUGAGAAAUUUAGUGAUUUAUCUGAUAGUGUACUUUUAUCUUUGCAAAACAGAAACUGAUGGAGAGGCUCUUCCCUGAUUAAGAAAGACAAAUUGGGAACGUACACAAGUAAGCACAUUCGCCUUAUUUGCCCGCGCCUCAAAAAAUGCCUACUUGAUACAAACCACUUUUCUUUUCUUAUCUUACUAAAUCUUCACCGAGUACCAACUACUAAUAGUGUAUUUCUCUUGGUUUUCCACAGGCGUAGAGUUCCACGACCCUCAACUGGUAUGACCACACACAUAUUUAUAUAUAUAUAAUAACGAUACACAAUUGGUAAAUUAUGACGUUGAUGAGCAAUUCGGUUGUAUUCAGCUUUAGCUACUCGUGAUCUUGUUUCAGGUUUGAGAAAAUAUGCCAACCAAGGUGGCAAUAGUUGAGCAUAUAUAGUUUCAGUUAUUUCUUGAUUUUAUUCAUUCUUUAAUUUGCACUGUGAUUUUGAUCCAUCCAUUAUAUUUCCACUUUUCCCUCUUUUUUUCAUGUUCAUAAUCAUUGUAUAUAGGUUUCGUUUAACCCCCAUAGUAAGAACCACAACUACUUGUAACCUUUGGUUGUGUUGUGGUGUGGUGUUCCUUUGCAUUUACUGCAAUCCUGGAUGGAAGCUUGUAACUUCAUAACAAGGCCAAACUUGAGAAUGUUAUUUUCGAAACAAAUUACUGCACAACGCAAUUCUUUUAAUUACAUAUCAAUCCUCAAUCGUCCACUGGUCAGCAAAAAUUCUUAUUGAGGAGAUUCGCUAGUUUUUGUUCUUAUGGUCCGAAUGGAGCUUCAAAUUUUGUCCAAGAAAUACCAACUUCGCUGCUCAUCACCUUGCCAGUUGGGGCAAUUUUUUUCCAAAUGUAAAUUUAAUUCGUUCUUCUUGCUUUUGUGACGGGAAUUCCCGAUUUUAGAUUUUUUUUUUAUUACGUUUUCUUAAUACAAUUUUUACUUACAAAAAAAAAAGACAAGAAAUUAGAAAAAAAUUCAAAUAUGAUUUUGAACCAAUCAGCAUAAGGUGGUGGCUGGUCUAUUCUUGUGUUCUUUUUCAAUUAAUAAUUUGUGGCUCAUUUGUAAGAUAUAUUUCCAUUGGCUGGUCAUUUAAUGGAUACUAAAGUUUUGAAUAAACACUUGGUGGGGUAUGCUAAAAUUACAGGACCAAAUUAAUCCAAUAUGUAAACUGUUUAAGAAAUAUGGACCACUAUAAGUCAUAAAUUAAUUCUCAAAAGGAAAAAUAUUUUAAAAUAUUCGAAGAGCACCCACUAUUGACUAACUAUUUACCAACUAUUUACCAACUAUUUACUACUUUCUUACUAUUAUCUAACAUCUUAUUGCAUAUUCUAUAGCUUAAAAACAUGGGUAAAACCUUGUAAUGGAUCAUGUAUGUUUUCAUAUCAGUUAAUCUUUAACUUAUCAAUUUAUAACAAUAUUUACUUGAUCCAAAAACCAUGUUUGUGGCAGAUUGGUUGUAAUGAUCCACGUAGUCAUUUAGUUUAUUGUAAAAAAAAAAAGAUUAAUCUUGGUGAGUUAAGUAAUUAUUCAAACAUGGCAUGAAUGUUUUCCUUCCUACAACUCAAUGAUGUUAACUUCUUCUAAAGUUUGACAAUUUCUAUAUACAACAAUGGGGCUCUUCGACGUAACCCAUCAAAUAUUUUAUUAAUAGGAAAAUGCACAAAUAAUAAAUCACUCUUUGAGAUGAACUCAUACUCUUUUCAAGAAGAGAGGAGUGAGAGGUCGAGGUGGGAGAUGGAUCGGAAACAGAUAGGGACCAUGAAGUGGUUAUGGAGGGUGAUGGCGAAGCGGGUGGCACGCUUCAGGGCGUACCACUUGCUGCAGAGGAGGGCGGCGGGGUUGUGGCCGCGGACGUCCAGAACAUUGGCGAUUUAGUUUUUGUCGAGAAAUUUAGAUUAAACUGGACGCUGAUUGACUAUGUUGUUUGCAUAGUCUAUUAAUAAAUCAACUAUGUUUUUUUUAUAGUUAAUUUAUUAGAUCUAAUAUACGUUUUAAUAUUUUAAUCAACUACAAUCGAUUAAUAAAUCAAUAGUAGAUUAGCGUUCAGUUUAAUCCAAAUUUUACAAAAGAACAUAAGGUAAAUUAGAAAAUUGCGAAAAAGAAAUAUGAGAGAGUUUUUCCAAAUUAUUUUUUUAAUAGGGUUCUACCUCAUAUGAUUUUUUGAAAUGAAGGGGUUAUGCUAAUUUUUCCUUUUAAAGUAAUCAUAUCUAAGAUAUAUAUAUAUUAGAGAUAAAAUCAUACUUGCAAAAUUAAUGGCAUUGGAUGGGAUUAAUUAUUAAGAGAUGUGCUAUUUUCACCUUCAAAAUAUUUUAUCACACCACUAAAUUAGAUAUAUUUCCCAUUUUACCUCUUUCUUCUUCUCUCACACCAAUAUUUUUUACGAAAGUAUAAACCAUCUACCACUAAAAUAAUUAAAAUAUUUAUAUAAAAAAACCCCACAAUUUUCACUGAAAAUCUCACCCUCUCCACCUUAAAUGAAUAAUACUUUCGUAAAAGAAAAACAUUUUUGAAGGUCAAAAAGAGCAGGAAUUCACAUUUUUUGAUAAAUAAAUUAAGAUUGUUUGUAUGAAAGAUCUUGAACUUCCUCCAGAAUUGGCAUGUUUGGCUUAAUAUAAUUUUGUUUCCUAAUUUUUUUUUACAUAAUCUUGUAAUAAAUAUUUCUAUUGCAAAAAAAAAAAAAAAAAAAAAAUAGAAAUAACUAAUAACACAUGAAGAUUAAGUGAAUAUAAAGAAGGGUGGUAGAUUAUAAAUUUGAGAGGAAUUUAUGAUAUUUUAUAAUCUUUGGUGGUGAAUUGAGAUACUUUGGAUGUGAAAAAUAAGACCACUCAUUAUUUAUUUUAUGGAUUAUUUUAGAGACUCCCCUCAUAUGAAAAAUAUAUAUAACUAACCACCAAACUAAUUACAUCCUUGAUUCCUUGUGCAUACCCCUCCAUUUUGAAAUUAAUAUGACAGACCCCCAUUGCUCACCCUGAAGUACUAAUGUGCCCUUUUAAAAUCUGUUUUAAAGCCUAGCCACUCACAGUCGUCUAUCUCUUCCUCUCUCAAAUCUCAGAUUCAAAUCCCGCCUCUCUCCAACUGGCGAAGUUGCUUCUCGGAGUCAUAACUCUCUCUCACAUGGUCGGAAUUCGAUGGUUUAACUACCGUUGGAUUCCUCUCGUCGAGCACUUUCUUUUGGGGGUGAUUUCAUUCAGUUUGGAGCGCUGGAUCUGUUUCUGCAAUUUUUUUUUCAGUCGACGCAUAUUUCGACGACGGUAGGUCUUGCCGGAGGUGUAUUUUGUAUUCCGCUAGUCGGAAUUUGACGGGCUACCCACCGUUGGAUUCCUUUCACCGAGAUCUAUAUUUUGAUGGUAAUCUCAUUCAUUUUUAUAUUGUCAGAUUUAUUUCUAUAAUCUUUUUCAUUUGUGAGCGCGGAACCUUGGGUGGUUAGCGGCGGCUAGGGUUUUGGUAGGAGGCGAUUGGGGUGAGAAGUCAUUGGCGGUUUGGUUUAGAAUUCGUAGCUAUGGUCUCUCUCUCUCUCUCUCUCUCUCUCUCUCUCUCUCUCUCUCUCUCUCUCUCUCUCUCUCUCUCUCUCUCUCUCUCUCUCUCUCUCUGUGUGUUUAUUUUAGAGUGUUUUGAUGGUUCUUCAAUUUUUGUUAUUUGCACUAAAAUAAUUUUUUUUUUUUUGAUUUUACAAUUGCAUCUUAAUGAAAACCAUUCAUCCUCUACUUGAAGGUGUCAAAAUUUUUGUUGAAGUUAUAUCUGCUUCAAGUUACAAUAUUCAACAGAUUGUGUACAUUACCAUACAAUAAUAGUUACAUAUAGUAAAAUGUAGUUACAUAUGCAUAUAUUUGUCUAUUUUCGAUUUGUAUUUUAUUGGUUCUAAGGUGAUUUGUAAUAUAAAUAUUGAUAUUUGUAAUGGGGUUUAUGAAUUUCUUUUGUAUAAGCCAGUAUUCGUGUGUAUACAUAAUGAUCGAAUAAAAAUAUCGGGUUAAAAAAAAGAACAUAACUACGAAUUACUAUUGUUUAGUACAAUUACAUGUAGUUAUUUUCAGUACAAUAAACAUAUAUUUCAUAAAAAAAAUUAAUUCAGUUUUUUUUUAAAAAAAGUUAAAUAAAAAAAAUUAAAAAAAAAAUAAUAAAAAUAUAUAUAAAUUAAACAAACAGGUUUAUAUAAAAAAAUGAAAAAUAAUAAUAAUUAAAUCAGUGAAAAUGCUAAAUGUAUGACCAGAAAUGCUGAAUGCAGUUUUGGCAAAAAAUUGCAUAUAAUACUUUCUCCAUUGAAUAUGUCAAAGGAUAAUUUUAACUUGAAUUUAUCCCUAAUUUAUUUGGUAGCUAAGAAUGUGUAAAAUAACCCCUUAAUUUUAUUGAAUACUAUUUACAUACAAGGCUUAAUAGUGACAACUAAACGAGUUCUAAAUUUGAUGAGUACAUUUGAAACUAAUUUAUUUUAUAUAAUUGUUCCAAUCUGAUGUAAUUAUUUAUUCCUCCAAAAUUUAAUUAAUUAAAAAAAAAAUUCCACUUUUUUCCUUGUACUUUGGCUCGAUGUCACUUUAUCCUCUUCUAUUUUUGAUUGCAUCGAUUUGUCCCCCUGUACUUAAAAAUUAUUUCAAUGUGACCCUCGUUGUUAGUUGUCAGACAUUUGACCUUAGCACAGUUUGGUCUAAGCUCUGAAAUUAUAAAAAGACCACCCCUCCCAAUUUAAAUAAUUAUUAAAAAACGAAAAAGAAAAAAAAAACAAAAAAAGUAAUAAUAAAAAAUUCAAGACAACGAGAAAGCAUAGUCCAUGACGAUAUCCACAAUUUAUUUUUAAUUUACUUUUUUUAAUUUUUUAAACUAGGAGGAGUGAUUUUUUUGUAAUUUUUAGACUUAGAUCAAACGGUGUUAAUGUUAAAUGUCUAAAAACUAACGGCGAUAGCCACAUUGAAACAAUAUUUCAAGUACAUGGAGGGCAAAAAUCGAUUCAAUUAAAAGUAGAAGGAGUAAAGUGAUAUCGAGCCAAAGUACAAGGAUGAAAAGUUAAAUUUACCAAAAAAAAAGUAAUAAAAGAUAUAUAUUCAGAAUAUUAAGAGUGUAAUAAAAUAAAAUAAACAAGUAGAAGUAUCUCGAAGACCUCUGAUCCAAUUGUGGCUCACAAAUUUCAAAUUUGAGGUUGUCGUUUAGUAAUGUAAGUUGACAGAAAAAAUAUCUAAAAUAAAAUAGAAAUAAAAAUAGUCAUCAUCUUCCUAUGAAGAAAGGAAGGGCUGUGUUGGAUUUUGCAGUAUUAACCUCAAAAACAAUUGUCGCCUCAAAUGAGAUAAGGUUACUGCCACGCGUCACUCCCUCAUAGAUUCAAGCGAUAAGGAAGCAAUCCAUCUAUUAUGUGGUCAUAAAAUCGAAAUGUAGAGGCAGGUCAGAUCCAACGGCCCACAUGAAUUAAAAAUAAACAAGUUUCAAUAAGGAGCGUUGGAUGAAAUGUUGAAAGAAGAAACAGGGUAGGGGGUGGGUUUGGCAUUAUAAAGGGAGAGGUGCAACAAGGCAUUUCUCCAUCGACUGUUGUUUGUGUCUUCUAAAGCAAAGAAAAGCAAAUUAAAGAGAGGAGAAAUGGCAGCCUCAAUGGUAUCAACCACAGCCACCGCCGCCGUGAGCCGCGCCACCGCAGCUCAAGCGAGCAUGGUUGCUCCUUUCACCGGAUUGAAGUCCACCUCCGCAUUCCCCGCUACCCGCAAGACUGCUGACAUCACCACCAUUGCCACCAACGGUGGAAGAGUCUCCUGCAUGAAGGUACCACAUUUUAUUCAUUUCAUUAAUUUGAAUUCAAUUAUUAAUAAUGUAUAGUUAACUAAUUAAUUAAAUGGAUAUAUAAAUGUUUGAAAUUGAAUGAUUAGGUGUGGCCAACAGUGAACAACAAGAAGUACGAGACACUGUCAUACCUACCUCCUCUAACCAGAGAGCAACUCAUCAAGGAAGUUGAUUACCUUCUCCGCAACAAGCUCAUUCCUUGCAUUGAGUUCGAGUUGGAGGUAUUAUUUCUCGAUCUAUAUAUAUAUUUUCUUUAUUUUAAAAUUAAAAAUGAAUAAAUAAAAAUGAAAAAUAUAAAAAGUUGUAAAUAUAUGUGCAGCACGGAUUUGUGUACCGUCAGCACAACAGCUCCCCAGGAUACUAUGACGGACGAUACUGGACAAUGUGGAAGUUGCCUAUGUUCGGAUGCACAGACGCAGUACAGGUAGUGAACGAGCUUGACGAGGCAAUCAAAGCAUACCCAGAGGGCUUCAUUAGAAUCAUUGGAUUCAACAAUCUGAAGC